GCCAGGCCAAACAUCCCUCCCCAUUUGCCCCUCCUCUUAAUUCUCCAGACUUUUUUUAUUCUUGGGAAGUUUUCUGUGCAAAUGGAACAUGAUUAAGUCAUUGAGAAGGGUGUUAAGGGAAAAUAUCGACCUUUUAGCCGCUGACAUCUAGCUCUGUGUCCUGAAAAAAAAAAAAAAACCCUCUCGACUUCCUUUGGUGUGUGUGUGUGUGCUCGCUGGCAUGUUGUAUAUACGAUCAUUUCCUCACUUGUUUAAAUAGUGCAGCUUGUGUUGGCAGUGCUCUCACUCAGCUCCAAAUGGUUUGCAUCAUGCUUAAAGCACCCUCCUUUCUCCCCGCUUCCUUCUCCCCCCACCCCCCACCACAAAACUCUGCACUAGGAAAACAGCCAGGGCUUUUUCCCUUCUCUAAGGAGGAGAGUGAUAAAUAGGUGACUAGAGAGAAGCAGACACCAUGUGUUAACUUAGGAAAAAAAAAAACUUUGAGGAACAUGAAGCAUUCCCCGCUGCCUGGUUUCUAUUUUCCUUCCUCUGAGGACUGUGUUUUAACCUGAACGUUUUUCUUGCCUGUCUGUUUAUAGAAAACAAAGCCCAUUCCCUGUUGCACUGAUGGGGACUGUGGAGCUCUUAGUCUGUGCUUAACAGUUGGGUUUUAAGCCAGGUAAAGAGUAGAGUAGUCCAGUCAGCUUCACAGUUCCCACAAUAGCAGUUACUAGGCUGGGGAAGUAGCACCCACAGAUCUUGGGAGCAAAGUGUGUGUGGAGGAGGCAGGGAAUACCCUGUGACUAAUUUCUGCAUAGGAGUUAGCAUCCCAUCCCCUGCGAAGAAGCCUUUGGGGAGGGUUCCACAAACGUCUUCCCAGGAGAAGGUCUUUAGACCUAGAUGAAGUCCAAACUAGGGACACAGGUAGAUGUUUUAAAAAAAAAAUAAAAAUUCCUAAUGUGAACCACAGCUAUGAGAGACUUUAUACAGAAUAUAAAAGUUUAAAAACUUGUUCUUGGCCUGUUGCAGUGGCUCACACCUUUAAUCCCUGCACUUCGGGAGGCCAAGGCGGGCGGAUCACUUAAGCCCAGGAGUUUGAGACCAUCCCAGGCAACAUGAGAAACCUGUCUCUUUAAAAAAAAAAAAAAAAAACCUUAUCUUUGGUAUAAAAGAGUAUUUCUUCACUAUAGAAAAUUUGGAAAACACAGGCAAAUAAAAAGAAAAAUUACCUGUCAUCCUUCUUUCUACUCAGACUAAAAGCACUAUUAUUUUGCAAAUCAUAUUUAAUUUGUAGCAUACACACACACUUUCAUUUUUAGUAAAACUGGAGGUCAUAUUAUAUAUUUAUAUGUAGUAUUUAUUUGGAGAGAGGUUUCACUCUGUUGCCCAGGCUGGAGUAUGGUGGUGCAAUCUCAGCUCACUGCAACCUCUGCCUCCCAGACUCAAGCGAUUCUCCUACCCAACCUCCCGCAUAGUUAGGACUGUAGGCACCCACUUCAAUGCUUCAAUAAGUUUUGUAUUUUUUUUCUAGAAAUGGGGUUUCAGCAUGUUGCCAGGCUGGUCUCAAACUCCUGAGCUCAAGUGAUGUACCUGCCUCAGCCUCCCAAAGUGCUGGGAUUAUAGGUGUGAGCCGCCAUGCCCAGGUGUAUAUAUUAUUUGUAAUCUGCUUUUUUCCUAAUAUUUUAAAUAUAUUCUUAUAUGGAGUCAUUUUUAUAGUUACCUAGAAUUCUUUUAUAUUCCAAGAUUUCUUUAACCAGUCUUUGCUCUAUUGAACCAAGAGAAGGUUCCCAACUUUUUUACAGUUAUAAACUGUACAGUGAAUCAAUUUCUCAUAUCAGAAUUUUAGCAUAUAUUCCCUUUGGUUAAAUUGCUUAAGUAAAUUAAGGUUCUAGACAUUGAUACGUCAAAAACUCAUACUCUUUGGAUGCAUUUAAUGGCUACUGGGGCUUGGGAAUCAGAGAACCUCUCUUUCCCAAGAGGAAUACUUUAUGCCUUUCAAACAAAAACUUAGAGUGAAAUUCUGCUCUUCUAGUCUCAGAAUGGGAAAAUCAUGGGGAUUUGUAGUCUGUGAGGCUGAGUACAGCUAGCAAGUUGUUUUAUACUUGUGGAAGAUGUUGAGUUAGAAGAGAAACUGGAUGGCCUGGCUUGGGCCAGAAAAUUUGGAAAACACAGGCAAAUAAAAAGAAAAAUUACCUGUCAUCCUUCUUUCUACUCAUUCUCUUCUUUUGUGAUCAUGGGGUGGUCUUGGUUCCAGAGGAUGCUUUUGGGAGUUUGCUAUGGAAGCUGUCUUUAGUGUGGGACAGGUGCUGACUAGAAGGGCUCUGAUGAGUUUCAGAUUUCCCAUGCCCCGUCUUCCAGCUUUAGUGUUGGGUACCAUGCCUGCGCACUGGCUCGAGUAGAACACAGAGCCAGCAGAGCAGCCCUCAGCCUAGGUAGUGAUCCACAGGCUACCUAGGGUGCAGUUGCAGGUCAGUGAGACUCAGGUAGGUCUCCACGUCAAGGACUAUGAAAUAGGUAUGUCACACCUAACAUGUCCAAAUUUAAACUCCUGAAUCCGGCCCUACUCCUACCCGCCAACCUGGUCUUCCUUUACUCUUCCCCAUCUUGGUAAAUGGCAGCUUUGAUUUUUGGGUUGCUCGUGUCAGAAUAACCCUCAUCAGGGUUAUUCUUGCUUCUUUCUCACACCUCCAUAUCAAAUCCAUCAGCAGUUAAUGUCUUCUUUACCUUCAGAAUACAUAAAGAUACAAUUCUGUCUCACCACUGCACCCCGGUUCAGUUGGUUGCAAUGCCUUUUAACUGCUUGCUCUAGUUCUUUGUCCCUUCAGGCUUUUUUUUUUUUUUUUUUGGAGGCAGAGUCUCUCUGUCUCCAGGUGCCAGACUGGAGUGCAUUGGCACAAUCUUGGCUCACUGUAACUUCUGUCUCCCGGGUUCAAGCAGUUCUCCUGCUUCAGCUUCCCGAGUAGCUGGGACUACAGGUGUACACAACCAUGCCCAGCUAAUUUUUGUAUUUUUUGGUAGAGACGGGGUUUCACCAUGUUGGCCAGGAUGGUCUUAAUCUCUUGACUUCGUGAUCCGCUCAUCUCAGCCUCUCAAAGUUCUGGGAUUACAGGUGUGAGCCACCACGCCCAGCCUCUUCAGUAUAUUUAAAAAAUAUCAGUAAGAUAUGUCAGUUCUUAGGUCAAAACCUUCUGAUGGUUGCUCUUCUCACUUAGAGGCCAGAGUUUUAACAAUAGCCUACAAUGCCCUCCAUAAUCUGACCCCACCUUCAUACCACUCCCAAGCUCUCUAACCUCAGGUCCUGCUGCUGUCGUUGAACCCAGUAUGUCACAUUGACAUCCUUGCUGUUCCUCAAACAAACCAAGUGCUCAUGCCUAAGAGUCUAGGAGUUGCUCUUCUCUUCACCAGGAGCACUCUGUACUCAGCUGUGUGCCUCUCUCACUCCCUUCUAACUGUCACCUUGGUAGAGAGAGCUUUCCUGGCCACGUCGUAUAAUCACAUAAAGUGUUACUCUGCUUUAUUCUCCAUCCAUGGCAGGGGAAAAUAACAUCUGCUGAGUAUCGUGUCAGUCCCUAGGCUAGGUACUUCUGUGCAGUAUUGCAUUAAGUUCUCUAAAUAAGCCUGCCAUGUAAGGAUUAUUACCUUCGUUUUUUAAGAGAUGGGUCUCACUUUAUCAUCCAGGCUGGAGUCAGUGGCACCUCAAAUUCCUGGGCACAAGGAAUCCUUGCCUCAGUGGGACCUCCAUCUCCUGGGUCCAAGUGAUUCUCUUGCCUUAGCCUCCCGAGUAGCUGGGAUUACAGGUGCACCACGACACCCAGCUAAUUUUUUUGUAUAUUUGACUAGCUGGGACUAAAGGCAUGUGGCACCAUGCCUAAUAAAAAAAAUUUUUUUUGGUAGCGAUGGGAUCUCAUCAUCUUGCCCAGGCGGAUCUUGAACUCCUAGGCUCAAGUAAUCCUCCUGCCUUGGCCUCCUAAAGUGCUGGGAUUAUAGGCAUGAGCCACCCCCUUCAAAUUUUGUAAAAAAGGAUACUGAGCCUUAAGAGAAAAGAACGAAGUUAAGCUCAUUUGGGUCAUCUCCAUGGCCAACCUAGGAGAUUAGUAUGGAUGUGUCAGGGAAUCUUUAGGAACUCUUAACCUUUUAGAAAUCUGCAAAAGCAUGGUGGUUCACACCUGUAACCCCAGCAUUUGGGAGGCCAAGGUGGGUGGAUCACUUGAGGCCAGGAUCUCUAAACCAGCCUAGGCAACAUAGCGAGACCUUGUCUCUAUAAAAAAAGUUUCAAAAUCAGCCAGGUAUGGUAACAAGCGCCUGUAGUCACAGCUACUCAGGAGCCUGAGAUGGGAGAAUUUUUUUAAGUGCAGGGAUUUGAGGCUUAUUAUGAUUGUGCCACUACACUCCAGCCUGGGUCUCAGAGCAAGACCCUAUUUGAGGAAAAAAUAAAAAAGAAAGAAAUUUGAAACAUAUAAACAUUUCCUCCAGCUUCUAGUGUUCAUUACUAAGAAAUGUAAAACAUAUAUCAAGUGCUCGUCAGUGGCAGCAGUGUGAGCAGUUUUAUUACUGGUUGAGAUUAGUCUCAUGUUUGAUCCAGACUUGAUGCUUAUUUUGCAGAUAUUUACUAAACACGUGUUGCCAACACAACCUGCAAGAUCCAGACACAUAAGGCAAAAGUUUUUCUAGUUUGGAUAAAGAUGUGAGUGGCAGGCCGGGCACGGUGGCUCAAGCCUAUAAUCCCAGCACUUUGGGAGGCCGAGGCGGGUGGAUCACGAGGUCAAGAGAUCGAGACCAUCCUGGUCAACAUGGUAAAACCCUGUCUCUACUAAAAAUACAAAAAAUUAGCUGGGCAUGGUGGCACGUGCCUGUAAUCCCAGCUACUCAAGAGGCUGAGGCAGGAGAAUUGCCUGAACCCAGGAGGCGGAGGUUGCGGUGAACAGAGAUCACGCCAUUGCACUCCAGCCUGGGUAACGAGAGCGAAACUCCGUCUAAAAAAAAAAAAAGAUGUGAGUGGCAACAGAAGUUAAUUUGAGUCUAAAGACAAUGAGGAGUUCUUCAAAUUUUGUCGAGCUGGUAGUAUCCCAAUGAAGGAAUUGCUUCAAGAGCACUGAUUUGGCCUCAGUUUUAUCAUUGUAUCUUUGAACACAGAAGUCUUCAACUUAUUUGCCUUUGAGUGCAAAUAUUCUGUUCUAUUUUUUUCUUCAGUAAUUUUUCUCCCUGAUGUAUUUGGUCUCCAUUCUUUGUCCUGUGUAGGUCACUUUUUCUGUCAUUAUUUUAAUCUGUUUUUGCUUUUCUUCUGCAUUCUAGGAAGGUUUCUCAAGUUUGUUCUCUGUGUAAUUGAUUUAAAUUUUUAUAGUGUUGAUUGUACUCUUCUUCUAGUUCAGGUUUUAAGUCUGCUAUUGCAUUGUUUGUUCUCUUACGUUACAUCUUAUAACCUUUAUUUUUUGCUUGCCUUUUAGUCAGUCUAUUUAUAUAUAUAUAUAUGUAUAUAUAUAUAUAUAUAUAUAUAUUUUUUUUUUUUUUUUUAGGCAGAGUCCCAGGGUCUGUCACCCAGGCUGGAGGGCAGUGGCAUGAUCUCAGCUCACUGUACCCUCCACCUCCCAGGUUCAAGCAAUUAUCUUGCCUCAGCCUCCCGAGUAGCUGGGAUUAUAGGCAUGUGCCCACCAUGCCUGGCUAAUUUUUUUGUAUUUUUAGUAGAGACAGAGUUUCAUCAUGUUGGCCAGGCUGGUCAUCCCAACACUUUGGGAAGCCAAGGCAGAGAGAUCACUGGAGCCUAGGAAUUUGAGACCAGCCUUGGUGACAUGGCAAAAACCUGUCCCUACAAAAAAUAUAAAAAUUAGCAAGGCAUGGUAAUAUUGCACCUGUAGUUCCAGCUAAUCAGGAGGCUGAGGUGGAAGAAUUGCUUAAGCCCUGGCAGCCUAGGCUGCAGUGAGCUGUGAUUGUGCCACCAUACUCCAGCCUGAGAGACAGAGCAAGACCCUAUCUUGUUUGUUUGUUUGUUUGUUUGUUUGUUUGUUUGUUUGUUUGUUUGUUUGUUUUGAGAUGGAGUUUCGCUGUUGUUACCCAGACUGGAGUGCAGUGGCACGAUCUCGGCUCACCACAACCUCUGCCUUCUGGGUUCAAGCAGUUCUCCUGCCUCAGCCUCCCCAGUAGCUGGAACUACAUGCGCGCACCACCAUGCCGAGCUAAUUUUUGUAUUUUUAGUAGAAAUGGGGUUUCACCUUGUGGACCAGGAUGGUCUCGAUCUCUUGACCUCGGUGAUCCACCCGCCUUGGCCUCCCAAAGUGCUGGGAUUAUAGGCGUGAGCCACUGCACUCGGCCUGGACCCUAUCUUUAAAAACAAAACAAAACAAAAACUCAAUUGAAAGAAUAUAGCAGAUAGUACUUCCUUGUUUAUCUGGUAUAUUUUUCCCAAAAUAUGUUUUAUUUCUCUAUUUGUGUGCUGCAUUCUCCUUUUUAUUAAUAUAUUGCAGAUUGUUUUCUUGGACCCCCAACUUUAGUUUCUAAAAUUUGGUGCUGGUCACUUAACAUUUCUUUCAACAAAGAAAAAUACUUGCUUCAAACAGAUUAGGUAGAUUCUUGCUGCAUACCUUCUUUGUCUACAAUAUUUUAUUUAUUUAUUUAUUUGUUUAGAGACGGAGUUUUGCUCUUGUUGCCCAGGCUCAGUGCAAUGGCACAAUCUUGGCUCACCACAACCUCUGCCUCCUGGGUUCAAGUGAUUCUCCUGCCUCAGCCUCCGGAAUAGCUGGGAGUAUAGGCAUGUGCCACCACACCCGGCUAAUUUUGUAUUUUUAGUAGAGACAGGGCUUCUUCAUGUUAGUCAGGUUGGUCUCGAACUCCUGACCUCAGGUGAUCUGCUCACCUUAGCCUCCCAAAGUGCUGUGAUUACAGGUGUGAGCCACAGUGCCCAGCUUUUUUUUUUUUUUUUAUUUGAGAUGGAGUCUGGCUCUAUUGCCCAGGCUGGAGUGCAGUGGCAUGAUCCUGGCUCACUGCAACCUCCACUCCCCAGGUUCAAAUGAUUCUCCUGCCUCAGCCUCCCAAGUAGCUGGGAUUAUAGGUACCUGCCACCAUGCCUUGCUAAUUUUUUUAUUUUUAGUAGAGAUGGAGUUUGUUGUGUUGUUCAGGCUGGUCUCAAACUCCUGACAUCAAGUGAUCCGUUCACCUUGGCCUCCCAAAGUGCUGGGAUUAUAGGCAUGAGCUACCACACUCGGCCAUUUUGUUUGUUUGUGUUUUUGAGACAGGAUCUCACUCUGUCACCCAGGCUAGAAUGCAAUGGUGUGAUCAUACCUCACUGCAGUCUUGACCUCCUGGGUUGAGGCAAUUCUCCUGCUUCAGCCUCCUGAGUAGCUGGGACUACAGGCAAGGGUCACCUCACCUGGCUAAUUAUUCUUACUUUUUUAUUAGAGACAAGGUCUCACUGUGUUGCCCAGGCUGGUCUCAAACUCCUGAGCUCCAGUGCUCCUCCUGCCUUGGCCUCCCAGAGUGUGCUCACAAAUGAUAGUUGAAAUCCCCUGCUCAGGUAUAGAGUUUGUACAUGUUGAAUAUCCCUAGUCCAAAAAUCUGAAAUACAAAAGACUAAAAUUCAAAGCUUGAUUUCAGAUUUUCCCAUUAGGGAUGCUCAGCCAGUAAGUAUAAAAUGCAAAUAUUCCAAAAUCUGGAAUACUUCUCUUCCACAGAAGUGUACAUAGAGUCAAACUGUAUGUCUUGUUUUAUGAUGUACUUUGUUCACUUAGCAAUAGAUACAUAUUUCCAUGUUUACCUAUAACAUGUAUUUAUGAGCUGCACAGUAUUGUAUAAAUAUAUUAUAGUAUUUAUUUAGUCUUCAAUCAUUAGAUGUUUUAUAGGAAGUUACUGACUUAUCUGUUUUAUAAACGAUGCCAUCUCAGGCAGCUUUACACAUGUCUUUUGUUUUCACCCUUUGAGAUAGUUUCUCCUCUUUAGACCUCUCUCUCUCUCAUUUCAUGGAUAUCUGAAGGGAUUUAGAAUAGUUUCCGAGGAUGAACAAAGAAGGAAAAGUUCAUAUGAGUGGAAUAGAAUGCUCAGACUGAAUUUAUCUGCAUCUUUCUCUCUGGAUUGAAUGUUCCUCAAUCCAGAAUGAGGAAUGCCCUGGAUUCAAGGGUACCAAAGUCCAGAAUUUGAGUCUUUCAAGAGAGAACUUGAAUUUUUUUUUUUUUUUAAGGCAAAUCCUUGAGACUUGAGAGUGCUCUGAGUGGUAUUAAGUAUAUGUAGUCUUAUCCACAUCAUUUAGGAGGUGUGUUCAAGGGCAGAAGUGUGAAAGUAGCGGUAGUGCAAUGCCUAAGGACCAAAGGGUUAGGACAGUAUCCUGGACUUCAAACAAUGGAGGCAAGAUUGCUUAUAGAUGAACAGUGACUAAUGAUGAUGACUGGUAUAUAAAACCUGAAGGUGAGGGAGCUGAGAUCAUGCCACUCCAGCCUGAGCAACAGCACCUAACUCUGUCUCAAAAAAAUAAAUAAAUAAAACCCUGAAGAUCAGUUAUGUGAGCAUACCUGCCUGUGUAUCCUACCUACCUGCCUACGUACAGUCUUUGUCUCAAGACUUAAUAAAUAUGAAAUAGAAAUUGGUUAAGAAGAGAAUAUAUGAUAGAGGAAAAAAACAUUGAUUUAAAUUUCUCCCCUGGUACUUUGUUUCACCCUUUUUAGUUUUCUUUACUAAUAUUAUCUCAUAUAUGUAAAAGAAUAUAUAUUUUUACUUCAUAAUUGUAUUUACUUUUAUUUAUUUUUUUGAGACAGGGUCUCGCUCUGUUGUCCAGGGUGGAGGGCAGUGAUACGAUCAUGGCUCACUGCAGCCUUAACUUCCUGGGCUCAAGCAAUCCUCCCACCUCAGCCCCUUGAGUAGCUGGGGACUACAGGCACAUGCCAUCACACCUGGCUAAUUUUUAAAUUUUUUGUGAAGACAAAGUCUCACUAUGUUGCCUAGGCUGGCCUUGAACUCCUGGGCACAGGUAAUCUUCCUGCUUCGGCUUCUUGAAGUGCUGGGAUUACAGGUAUGAACCACUGCACCCAGCCCAUAUGUUUAGAUUGUACAACAAUUUAAGACCAGGCGUGGUAGCUCAUGCGUGUAAUCUCAGCCCUUUGGGAGGCCAAGGCAGACGGAUCACUAGAGGUCAGGGGUUUGAGACCAGCCUGAGCAACAUGGUGAAAUUCUGUCUCUACUAAAAAUACAAAAAUCGGCCUGGCGCGGUGGCUCAAGCCUGUAAUCCCAGCACUUUGGGAGGCCAAGGCGGGUGGAUUACAAGGUCAAGAGAUCGAGACCAUCUGGUCAACAUGGUGAAACCCCAUCUCUACUAAAAAAUAUACAAAAAAUUAGCUGGGCAUGGUGGCGCAUGCCUGUAAUCCCAGCUACUCAGGAGGCUGAGGCAGGAGAAUUGCCUGAACCCAGGAGGCGGAGGUUGCGGUGAGCCGAGAUCGCGCCAUUGCACUCCAGCCUGGGUAACAAGCACGAAACUCCGUCUCAAAAAAAUAAAAAAAUUAGGCAGGUGUGAUGGUGGGUGCCCAUAAUCCCAGCUACUUGGGAGGCUGAGGCAGAAGAAUCACUUGAACCCAGGAGGCAAAGGCUACAGUGAGCCAAGAUUGCACACCACUGCAUUCCAACCUAGGCGACAGAGUGAGACUUUGUCUCAAAAAAUAAAUAUUUUUCAAAAGAUUUAUGAUUAAUUCCUUUACUUUUAUUUCAACUUACUAAUAUGUAUUUACAUACAAUGAAAUAUAACAAGGCACGAUGGCUCACUGUAAUCCCAGCACUCUGGAAGGCUGAGGUGGAUGGAUCACCUGAGGUCAGGAGUUCGAGACCAGCCUGGCCAACAUGGUGAAACUCCAUCUCUACUAAAAAUUAAAAAAACAAAAAAAUUUAAAGAAAUGUAUACAUUUGAAUGUGUGGGCAUAUAUAUACCUAUAUCAAGAUACAGAAUAUUUAUAUAUUCUGUGUAAGGACCCCCUCAAUCAAGAUAUAGAAUAUUUCCUUUUCCCCAAAAUGUUUCCGAGUGCCUCUAUCCCCUAUUCUACUCCCUGCCCCUAGCAACUGCUGAUCUGAUUAUUCUCGCUGUAGAUUAGAUUUGCCUGUUAUUAAGUUUCAUAUAAAUGGAAUCAUAUAGUUUAUACUUCUAGGUCUUUGUUUUGUCAUUCAGUAUAACAUCUAUGAGAUUCAUCCGUAUUGUACACUGCAUCUUUUCAGUCAUUUAUAGAUUAGUAGUAUUGCAUUAUAUGGACAUAUCACAGUUUAUCCAUUCACUUGAUGAUGGAUAUUUGGGCUGUUUUUGUUUGGGGGUUAUGAAUAAAGAUGCUGUGAGCAUUAAUGUACACGUCUUUUUGUGGUCAUAUAUUUUCAUUUCUCUUGGAUAAAUAUCCAGUAGUAGAAUUGCUUAGUCAUAAGUAUGUAUCUAACUUUAAAAGAAGCUGCCAUACUUUUCUGAAGUGAUUGCACCAUUUUAUACUCCUACUAGCAACGUAUGAGCAUUCUAGUUGCUUCACAUUCUUGCCAACAUUUGGUAUUUCGAAUCUUUAUUGUUUUAGGCAUGCUAGUAAGUGUGAAGUAGUGUCUCAUUUUAGUUUUAUGGGUUUUUUGUUUUUGUUUUUGAUUUUUUUUUCGAGACAGAGUCUCACUCUGUCACCCAGGCUGGAGUGCAGUGGCAUGAUCUCAGCUCACUGCAGCCUCUGUCUCCUGGGUUCAAGCGAUUCUCCUACCUCAGCAUCUCAAGUAGCUGGGAUUACAGACAUGCACCACCACACCCAGCUAAUUAUUUUGUAUUUUUAGUAGAGAUGGGGUUUCACCAGUCUCUACUGGUCUCGAACUUCUGACCUCAAGUGAUCCAUCAGCCUUGGCCGGGAUUACAAUGCUGGGAUUACAGGUGUGAGCCACUGUGCCUGGCCAUAGUUUUAAUAGUCAUUUUCCUGAUUAAUGAUGAGCAUCUUUUUAUGAGUUUACUGACAAUUCUUAUAUCCUCAUUUUGGGAAGUACUCUAAUCUGUUGGUCAUUUUUAAACAUUGGAGGUGUUUUCUUGUUGAGUUAUAAUAAUUCUUCAUAGAUUCUGGACACAAAUACUUGUCAUAUAUACAUCCUGUGAAUAUUUCUUGUGGUCUGUGACAGGUUUGCCUUUUUUUUUUUUUUUUUUUUUUAAACAUAGUAUUGAACAGCAAACUUAUUUUUAAGACAGGGUCUUGCUCUGUUUUCUAAGGGAUCCUCCCACUUUAGCCUCCCAAGUAGCUGGGACUUCAGGUGCAUGCCACCACGCCUGGCUAAUUUUUGUAGUUUUUGUAGAGCCACGGUUUUACCAUGUUACCCAGGCUGGUCUCAACUCCUGAUCUCCAGCAAUCUGCCCGCCGUAGCCUCCCAAAGUGCUGGAAUUACAGGGAUGAGCCACGGCGCUUGCGCUUCCACUGGAAUUUUGACUAUACAGUUGGGACUUCCACUUUUAACUGCCUCAGACAUUCCCGAAUUGCCAUCAAUUAGGACAAAGGCUUUUGAAGGUUUCAUGUUUUUGUGGGCAAUUUUUUGUGAUCUCAUUAUUGUCAGUAAUAGGAAAAAUGAAUCUUUGGUUGCCUAAGAGUGAAUUCAAGUGUUUCUUAACUACCUGUAAGCUCAGAAACAACCAGAUGAAAUAAUAUAAAACCUCAUUUGUAGGGAAUGCUUAUCUAGCAAUACUUUUAUUUUUUGGCUCAUACAUACACUUCUCUCUAAAGUGAAGAGACGAAUGAUAAACUGUUCUUAAUUCUAGAAUGCGAGGAAAACAUGGUUUGCAUAUGUGCAGCAAAAAAACUUUGGAAGGUUGGAAUUGCACAAUGAGUGUAGGUUGAGCAAUUGCUUAAGAAGGCAUACAUGUUUGGCAGGGGGUGUCCUUUGCUCUUGUGCAAUUAGGGAACUCCAGAGCUGCCUGGAUAGGGGGUUUCCUUUUUAUUUCUUACAUGCCAUUUAAAAAAUUAACUUCUUCCCUCCUCUUCAGUGUUCACUCCCUUUUUAUUACUCCCUUGCAUUCUUAUUUGUGAUUUCUUUCUUUUAAGGAAUUACUCAAACAUGUAUGUGUCCCACCUCUGUGACUUUGAUUAGAAAUGCACCUGGGUCAGGUUCUGCUGGUGGUUGGGGGAGAGGUUGCUGAUGGUUUAGGGAUUUCUAGUUCAGCUUCUUGUCACAAGUGCAAUACUCAGCUGGUUCAGAGCAUUUGAAAUACAGGUUAAAAAUCAGCCAGCAUUUCCUGAGAUUUCUUAAUACUAGAAUUUUGCAGACUUUGUAAUGAGUGUUCUGAGGUUUUUCCCUGUUUUGAUUUUAAUGGUAACCAACACCUUCUGAUGAAGAUCAUCUGCAGGCUUUACUACAAAGUAAAACCUAACUUUAAGCUGAGAGCCUAAGAGCCAAACAGUAAGAUCCAGAGCUAGACAGGAUUUGUUUUGGCAAAAGGAAAGUCCUUGUUUUCUGCCGUCUUCCCUUUGGCCUGCUCAGGCACACUCAGGUUGGAUGGUACUUAAUAAGUGUGCUUCUAAUUGUAAUUCUCUUCCACUUUCCUUUGUGGUAGGGGUACCAAAUUCCGUUUACCCUCAUCUUUGCUCUCUUCCAGAGGAACAGGAGAGGUAGUUGGGUCAGUGUGCCAGGAAAGCAGAAGUUAAAUAUGUGGAUUUCAUAGCUGCAUGUAUGAGUGUUUGUGGGGCAGGGAAUUUUUAAUGGAAAACAUUUGUGUUACAUCGAAAACAGAGUGAGGCCUGGUUAGAGUCUGUCUGCUUUGUCUGUCAGUCUGCUCCCUACCAGCACUAGUCAUUGUUCUCCUGGGAGUCUCAGGCAUAUUGCGGUUUCUUCUGCUCUUGCUAGCCCCUAAUCUUGCCAGAGUUUUUGUGUCAUGGGUGGCCCCUUGUGCAGUCUGGAGUUAAGGCUGCAAAGUUGGUGACUAAUGGCUUUGAAGAAGGUACUUCAGCCCACAUAGGGGCUUUGGGACCCUUUUUAGGUUAAGCCUUAGGAGGGAGAAGGGUUUCUAACACAGUGGAAGAAACGUGCUUAGAUACAUACAAACACUUUUUUAAACCCUUCUUUUACUGUUAGCAAGGCAUGAACUAGAAGAAUGGAGGCACGCCUGGUGGCACCAUGCCUGUAAUCCCAGCACUUUGGUAAGCUAAAGCGGGAGGAUUGCUUGAGCCCAGAAGUUCGAGACCACCCUGGCCAACAUAGUGAGACUUUGUCUCCAAAAAAAAAAAACCAAAAAUUAGCCAGACAUGGUAGUGCAUGCUUGUAGUCCCAGCUGCUUGGAGGCUGCAGUGGGAGGAUUGCUUUAGCCUGGAAGGUCGAGGCUACAGUGAGUGAGCAGUGAUCAUGCCACUGCAUUCCAGCCUGGGUGACACAUCAAGACCCUGUCUCAAAAAAAAAAAAAAAAAGACAGGAGAGAACGGCUUGCUGUUUGGGCUUGCCAUUUCAUUUGUAAAUGCUCAAAAGGGAUGCACCUGGGUGCCCAAUCUUGCAUCUGACAGGCUGAUGUCAGUCAGGUUGUGUGUGGCUGGAUGUUUUGGGAAAUACAGAAGAAAAAGUGCUAAUUUCCCUGCGGAUAGUGUCACUCCAAGAUAGAAGGACUUGUAAUUUGAGCUUUUACCUUUUUUAUUCUUUCUUUCUUUCUUUUUUUUUUUUUUUUUUUUUUUUUUUGAGAGGGAGUCUCUCUCUGUCUCUCAGGCUGGAGUGCAAUGGCACAGUCUCAGCUCACUGCAACCUCCACCUCCCAGGUUCAAGCGAUUCUCCUGCCUCAGCCUCUGGAGUAGCUGGGUUUACAGGUGCCCACCCACCACACCCAGCUAACUUUUUUUUUUUAAUUUUCAGUAGAGACAGGGUUUCACUAUGUUGCCCAGGACAGUCUCAAACUCUCCUGAUCUCAGGUGAUCCGCCCGCCUCAGCUUCCCAAAGUGCUGGGAUUACAGGCAUGAACCACCACACCCGGCCUGAGCGCUUUCUGAUCCCAGUGUCCCUGAAAUUGACAUUUGCUCAUCAUUUUUUAAAAAGGGAAAGAAAGAAGAAACAAUAAAAGAGCAGCUCAGCUCAGUUUUCUGGGUCCCCAAGAAGGUACUCCACCAAUGUGGUUUUCACAUUUUCAGGUUUUGGCUGGUGAAUAAGAUUAAGCAGAAAUGCUCCUUCCCCUGAUAACAAUACAUUCAAAUGCAGGGUCAGGAGCAUGUGGAUUAAAACCAGACGGUGGAUGAUUAAUACUUUUGCUUAUAGAGGUAGACAUGGCAGCUUCCUCCAUUUAAAUGAAAAAGCCUUUUCUCUGCAUUUGUAUGUGUGCAUAUGCUUACAUGCUUGGGCUCUUUGACGGUGAGAGCUGAGUUUCUGUACCAUUUCCUUCCUCUCCAAUCACCCAAGAAGUGCUCGAAGGCCUAAGUUGUGAAGCAGAGGUAUGAAGAGGAGACACUAUGGUAGGAGUGGGAAUAUGUUCUCUUUUUUAAGCUAACUGCUUUCAUAGCUUUUUGAGUACUGCUGUAACACACAUCUUUUUCCAUGGAAGCUACUUGCUUCUUAUGGUCAUGUAACCUCAUGAUGAGAGGCAUACUUUUUCAUUUAACCUACUGUAUCUUUGGAAGUAGCUAACCCUCGUCAUUUUAUUAAUAAGAGAAACUUUAUUAUUACAGGGAUACUUUAUGUUUUUUUUUCCUUUCCCACUGAAAACAUGACAGAGAUUGCUUGGUCCAGGAGUGGUAGCUCAUGCCUGUAAUCCCAGCACUUUGGAAGGCUGAGGCGGGCGGAUCACCUGAGAUCAGGAGAGUUUGAGACCAGCCUGGCCAACAUGAUGAGACCCUGUCUCUACUAAAAAUACAAAAAGUGCCUGGCGUGGUUGGUGCAUGCCAGUAAUCCCAGUAAUCCCAUCUGCUACAGGUGCCGAAGCAGAAGAAUUACUUGAACUGGGAAGGUGGAGGUUGCUGUGAGUGGAGAUCACACCACUGCACUCCAGCCUGGGUGAUAGAGCAAGAUUCUAUUUCAAAAAAAAAAAAAGAGAGAUUUCUCUGAGUACACCUCGGUUUUUUUGAGGCACCGUCUUGUUUUGUUGCCAAUGCUGGAGUGCAGUGGUUUGACCAUGCUCACUGUAGCCUCACCCUCCAGGGCUCAAGGGAUCCUCCUACCUCAGCAUCUGAGUAGCUGGGACCACAGGUACACACCACCACACCCAGCUAAUUUCUGUAUUUUUUGUAGAGAUGGGGUUUCACCAUGUUGCCAAAGCUGGUCUUGAAGUCCUGAGCUCAAGCAGUUCACCUACUUUGGCCUCUCAAAGUGCUGUGAUUACAGCCACAGUGCUGUUCCUAUGCUUUUUAAGUAGAGUUUAGCAGGUGUUUAUUUAUUAAUAAAUAGUUUCAGUAUUCAUUUUUAUUAAGGUCUGUCUGUAUUAACCCCUUCUGGCCGGCAGGCCUCUGGUUAGUCUAGGCCUCUGAUUUCAGCUUGAAUAUAAGCUUUGCUCUUUGGAGAAACAGACUCCUGCCUAAAUAAACAGAACAUGAAAAGGGAGGAAGAAGACCAAGCUGAGAUUUCAAACCUUUUUCAUCUCUAAAGAAGGUUGUAUUGUCUCUAUAACAAGAAAAAGUUUGAAGGACAGAGGGCGUAAAAUUCCUUUUAUUCCAACAUCAGUAAAUCUGUGUGUGUUUUACAGGGUUGCCUCAUUUCAAGGUGAAAGUGGGUUCUGUCUCACCCUGUCACACUCUAGAUGUAUGCAUCUCCAGGUCUCCCCAAUCAUAGCCUGGAAUGAUGCUCCCCCAGUUUAUCCUUUUCCCUCAGAGACUCUCAGCAACCAAGCUUGGUGGGUUUACAUAAAUUAAAAUUUACUCUUUGUUGUACAGUUUUGAGAAACACAUACUUUUAUGUAACCAUCACUACAAUUAAGAUACAGAGCAUUUUCAUCACCCACAAACAUUCCCUCAUGCAACCAGCCCCCUUCCUACCCCCAGUCCCUGACAACCUCUGAUGUUUUGUCUCUAUAACUUAGCUUUUUCCAGAGUGAUGUAUAAAUAAAACCAUACGGGCUGGAUGUGGUGGCUCACACCUGUAAUCCCAGCACUUUGGGAGGCCAAGAUCACAAGGUCAGGAGGUCAGGAUCACCAGCUUCGCCAAUAUAGUGAAACCCCGUUUCUACUAAAAAUACAAAAAAUUAGCUGGGCAUGGUGGCAGUCAUCUGUAAUCCCAGCUACUUGGGAGGCUGAGGCAGGAGAAUAGCUUGAACCCAGGAGGCAGAUGUUGCAGUGAGCCAAGAUGGCGCCAGUGCACUCCAGGCUGGGCAGUAGAGUAGGACUCCAUCUUAAAAAAAUAAAAAUAAAUAAAAUCAUAUAGUACAUAAACCAGGGGUGUCUAAUCUUCUGGCUUCCCUGGGCCAUCUUGGAAGAAUAAUUGUCUUGGGCCACACAUAAAGUAUACUACAUUUAUGAUAGCUGAUAAGCUAAAAGAAAAAAAAGAAUCUCAUAAUGUUUUAAGAAAGUUUAUAAAUUUGUGUUGGGCUGCAUGGAGCAUGGGUCGGACAAGCUUGAUAUAGAGCUUUUGAGUAUGGCUUAUUUCAUGUAGCAUAAUGCAUUUGAGAUUCAUGCAUGCUGGCUGCUGCAUCAGUCACAGGUUCUUUUUUGUUGCAGAAUAGUAUUUCAUUUAAUAGAUACACUAUGAUUUGUUUAUCCAUUCACCAGUUGAAUAUUCGGACUAUCUGCAGUUUUUGGUGGUCAUUGGUAGAACUGCUAUAAACAUUUGUGCAUCAGUUUUUACAUAUCUUAAACUUAAAUGAACUUAAGUUUUCAUUUCUCUUGGAUAAAUACUUAGGAAUGGAAUGGAUGGUUUAUGUGAUAAGUGUAUCUUUAACUUUGCUAGAAACUGCCAAACUCUUUUCCAAAGUGCAUGUACCAUAGUGCAUGAGCAGUUCCUGUUGUUCUGCGUCCUUGACAGCACUUGAUACUAUCGGUUUGUUUGUUUUUUAAAUAAUUAUAAUAGGUACCUUGUUAUUUUAAUUUGCAUUUCUCUAGUAGUUAAUGAUGUUGAGUAUCUUUUUAUAUGUUUAUUUGUUAUCCGUGUAUCUUCUUUGGUGAGGUGUCCAGUCACAUAUUUUGCCUAUUGUUAAGUCGGAUUAUUUUCUUACUGAGUCUUGAGAGGUCUUUUUAUAUUUUGGAUACAAGUCCUUGUCAGAUACAAAUGUGUUGCAGAUAUUUUCUUGCAGUCUGUGGCUUGUCUUUUCACUUCAGAGACUAAGUUUCGACUGAUUAAAUGCUGAGAGCUGAAGGUUUCAGGCUCUCUGGGUAGAAGAACAUAAGGAAAUUGAGACCUUAGUCAGCAGAAAGAUGUGCGGACCACCCCUUUUGAAACUUUAUUUAAAAUAAAAGAAGGGGGGGAUAAGGAACCGGCCAAACUGAGUUGUCCAGACAGCUUUCUGAAGCUUUUUUCAAUUCUUUCUCCUGUACCCCACUAUGAUGUAGAUUCUGGGCUCUUACCUUCAACUGGGUUCUUCACUUCCUGCCAUCACUCCAAAACUAUCAAGGCCUCUCUAGCUUAGGUGGACUCCCAGCAGAAUACCCGAGAUGUCAGGCCAGCUUCUUGCCCAUAGUAUAUUCCAGAGUGCAGUAGUUUUUUGAUAAGUAGUCAUUCCCAGAAUCUAAAAUGAUAGCAUCCAAGGAGUCAUUGCUUUGAAGAACUUUUUGCAUCUUCAGCUGGACUCUUUCGAACAAGCGUCGGCAGAGUCUAGUCAGGGUUCUGCCACACCAGGUUCUGCCAUGAGAAGCAAAUUGGCAGCAACAUACAGGCCCUGAGGCAGUGGAAUUCAAUUCUCAGAACCUUCUCCUUGUGGGGCUCUUUCAUGUUUCAUGUAAUUCUUUCCACUGGGUAGCCACAUAGGUAUAGGGAAGAUGUCCUGCCCCACUGGGUAAAAGUCUGGAGAAGAUACUAUGUGGAAUCUUGUCGCUUUUUAAUUGCUGAUCCCUGUUAAGGUGUUUUUCUUAAGCAGCAUUUGCCACUAACUAGACAUUAGUCAAGUUUCUUUUUCUUUAUGCACGUGACAUGGAUCUCUAACACUGCAUGUGAUGGUCAGAGGAGAGCUGCCUUAGUGCUAGAGGUCUGUCCAUUUCUCCAGGACAGUGGAGCCUGGUCAUGGCUCUCUGGCUUCUGACCAUAGUUGGGAGCGAUGUAUUUAGAGAAUUUCUGAGCCUUCACGUGUAUCAGCUAUUUGCAUGUCUUUUUGUAAGCAAAGCAGCAACUUUUAGGCAGGCUUAAAACUUUCUUUUUCUACUCAUGAAGGUACAGCUUUCUCUGGAGCCUGGUCAUGGCUCUCUGGCUUCUGACCAUAGUUGGGAGCGAUGUAUUUAGAGAAUUUCUGAGCCUUCACGUGUAUCAGCUAUUUGCAUGUCUUUUUGUAAGCAAAGCAGCAACUUUUAGGCAGGCUUAAAACUUUCUUUUUCUACUCAUGAAGGUACAGCUUUCUCUUUACUAAGGAUAAAUAAAUUCAAUUGAAUAUAAAACUGUAAUGUGGAAUAAUAUUUCAGGCUUUAAAAAUGGAGGGAUGGGUUAAAAAUUCUGCAAUAAAUCUGCAAAUGCGGAAUAUAAGGGAAAUGGUCCCAUCUGGAAAACCCUACUAGUGGUGCUGUGGCUGGUUUGUGGAGCAGUGCAGAUUGUGGAGUGAAAAAAAGAACCUACAGUCUUGAAAGAUGACAGGCUCCUUAAUUGAUGUCCAUUUCACCUGGUGCUGUGCCAGCUUAUGUUGGCCUCGGUCCAGCGUUCCUGUAAUUUGGGAGCCAGGUGUGAAGCAUUUUUGUUCCAUCUUGUUCCCUAGCAUCUACAGAAGCUCACGCAUCUUACUUGAGGCAGCAGCACGCCAUAGGAAACAGAUGUACAGGUAGAGGUGGAAGGAAGUAUCACAGCUGGGUUAUGGAUUUUUUUUUUUAAAUCCUUCACACUCAAGUGAGAUCUGGGUUUGAGAAUUGGGGCAAAGGGUAUUUCACAGCCUUGGUGUAAUGUGACUAUCAGGUAUCUUAAUUAGACCGAUACUCAUUUGUGAUUUUAAAAACGUCUUAUUACCUUAGAGUCACACUUUGUAUAGGCAGAGAGCUUUUGCGAUUUGCCUUUGCCUGGCUUCUGGGAGCAGCAGUAUAAAGUGUGAUAGGAAGAACAUCUCAAGAUGGCCCUCCAAGUUGAAUCUGAUGACUUCCAUAGCAUCUGAGGGCCAAGGGAACAUAACCACCUAGAGGUUAGCUACCCCUAAUUAGAUGGGUCCUGACUGUGUUCUUUGGGGAUGUUGUGAACACAGUAGAAAGUGCUCACAUCUGUUCAGCACGUUGGUGUUAGGCCCUUGAUGCUCUAGACCAGCUGUCCCCAACCUUUUUGGCACUGGUUUCAUGGAAGACAGUUUUCCACAGGGUUAGUACUGGGUGGUUUCGGGAUGCAACUGUUCCACCUCACAUCAUCAGGCAUUAGUUAGAGUCUCAGAAGGAGCACACGGGCUAGAUUCCUCACACACAUGCUUCACUGUACGGUUUGCACUUUCUUCCUAUGAAAAUCUAAUGCCGCUGCUGACCUCACAGGAGGCGCAGAGCUCAGGAGGUCAUGCUCGCUUUACCACAACCCCAGGAUUGGGGACCCCUGCCCUAGACUAUGGUUGCAGUUGGCAAAAGGAGAUGUUUUUCCAGAAUCUAACAUGUCUCCUUUCUGCCCCUCCUGCUAAACUGAACAUUAACCAGCAGGCAUUUCUGCCUUUCAGGAUUACGAGACAUGAGUAGGAUCCUUCCUGUGGGAGCAUGAAAGUCCUAUGGACUUAGGGCUGAAACGCUGGAAUUGGUGCUUUGCCACUGACUUACAUUUUGAUGUAAGGCAAGUUUUCGCCCUCUAGGACUAAGAGCCAGCUCUGUUUCUUCUUUUAUGGAAAAGGCCCAACCCAUGAAAAGACAACUGAAAGAAUCCUUUGUUGUUUCUUUCUUUAACUCUGUAUCUCACACAGACAGAGCUGAGGAUAGUGUUUGGCCUUGGCAGUCAGACCACAAUGUCAGGGAGUGCCUACAAGCCUGCCUAGGCUGCUUUUUGCUCCAGGUGUAUUAGGGUCACAGGACAGCCCUUGGUUCAUGGAUAGCUUUUAUCUGUUCUUUCCUUGUGUUGUCAAUACCAGAACCUUCCAAAUGUCAGAAGGCAAGAGGGUAAGGAGUUAAGGAAGAGACAUGAUUCUUGUUCUUUAAAUCAUGCUUAUUCUAUAUGGUAAAAUAUACGUAAGAUAAAAUUUACCAUUUCGACCUUUUUUUUUUUUUUAAGACGGAGUCUGGCUCUGUCACCUAGGCUGGAGUACAGUGGCGCCAUCUCAGCUCACUGCAGUUCCUACCUCCCAGGUUCAACUGAUUCUCCUGCCUCAGCCUCCUAAGUAGCUGGGAUUACAGGUGCUUGCUGCCACACCUGGCUACUUUGUGUAUUUUUAGUAGAGACAGAGUUUGCCAUGUUAUCCAGGUUGGUCUUGGACCUCGAGUGAUCUGCUUGCCUUGGCCUCCUAAAGUGUUGGAAUUACAGAUGUGAGCCAUGGUGCUUGACCUUUCUCUAUAAAUUUGGCUACUUUGUGAACCUCAUAUAAGUGGAAUCAUAAAAUAUUUGUCCUUUUGCGAUUGGCUUACUUCACUUAACUUAAUGAUUUCAAAGUUUAUCCAUGCCGUAGCACAUGGCACAAUUUCAUUUGCCUUUAAGGCUGAAUAAUAUUCUGUUGUAUGCAUAUAUCUACCACAUUUUGUGUGCCUCUUCAUUUGUUAAUGGACACUUCGGUUGCUUCCACUUUUUGGCUCUUGUGAAUAAUGCUGCUGUGAACAUAAAUGUACAAAUAUCUCUGAGAGCCUACUUUCAAUUCUUUUGGGUAUAUACCCAGAAGUAGAAAGUAGAAUUGCUGAAUCCUGUGGUAGCUCUGUUUAAUUAUUUUAUUUUUGAGAUGGGAUCUCACUCUGUCACUGAGGCUGGAGUGUAGUGGCACACUCUCAGCUCACUGCAUCCUCCACCUCCUGGGCUCAAGUGAUCCUCCCACCUCAGCCUCCCAAGUAGCUGGGAUCAAAGGCAUGCACCACCAUGCCCAGCUAAGUUUUUGUAUUUUUGGUACAGAUAGGGUUUCGCCAUGUUGCCUAGGCUGGUCUCUAACUUCUGAGCCCAAGCAAUCCAACCACCCCAAAGUGCUGGGAUUAAAAGUGCCAGCCACCACACCCAGCCAUCUAUGUUUAAUUUUUUAAAGAAUCGUCAUACAUUUUCCACAGUGGAUGUACCAUUUUACAUCCUCACAAACAGAGCACAGGAGUUUCAGUUUCUUCACAUUCUCACAACACUUUUUUUUUUAAUAAUAGCCAUCCUAAUGAGUAUAUUGGUGCAAUGUACUAUUGCACUGGGGUUUUCAUUUUUCAUUUUCCUAACGACUAGUGAUGUUGAACAUCUUUAUGUGUGCUUAUCUCUUGUGUACAUUUUACAUUGAUAAUUUCUCCUUUCUCAGUUGAUUGUCCUUGGAAUGCCUGAGCAUUUUUGUUUUUUAAGAGGUAGGGUCUCAUUAUGUUGCCCAGGCUGGACUUGAACUCCUGAGCUCAAGUGAUUCUCCUGCCUCAGCCAUCCUAGUGGCUGAGACUGUUGGUGUACACUGCUAUACCCACCUAGGCUUUGAUCCUAAAUUGGUAUAGGCUACUUGUGUGGCCUAUAAACUAUAGCUUUCUUUUUUUUGAGACAUACUUUCGCUCUGUCAACCCAGGCUGGAGUGCAGUGGUGCAGUCUUGGCUCACUGCAACCUCUGCCUCUUGGGUUCAAGCAAUUUUCCUGCCUCAGCCUCCUGAGUAGCUAGGAUUACAGGCAUUUGCCACCAUACCCGGCUAAUUUUUGUAUUUUUAGCAGAGAUGGAGUUUCACUGUAUUGGCCAGACCGUUACCAAAUUCCUGACUUCAAAAUGAUUCACCCACCUCAGCCUCCCAAAGUGCUGGGAUUACAGGUGUGAGCCACUGUUCCAGCCCCUAUAACCUAUAGCUUUCUAAACCAAGCAAACAAAAACUCUCAUAUAUAUCUUCUUUUGGAUUUUCUUUCUUUUUUAAGCAAAAAUGAAAUAUCUCUGUAACCUCUCUAUGCUUCUGUAUCUUCUUCAAUAAAAUAAGGAAAAGAGCUGUUGUGAGAAUUAAAGAUCAGCUCUAUGAAAGCACUUUGUAAAGCUUCUAUAAAAUUACAAUUUAGGCCUGGUGUGAUGUCUCACACCUGUAAUCCUAGCAUUUUGGGAGGCUAAGGUGGGUGGCUCGCUUGAGGCCAGGAGUUCAAGACUAGCCUGGCCAACAUGGCAAAACCCGAUUUCGACUAAAAAUACAAAACUUAGCUGGGCAUGGUGGCACAUGCCUGUAGUCCCAGCUACCAGGGAGGCUGAAGUGGGCAGAUCUCUUGGGCUUAAGAGCUCAAGAAUCACUUGAACCUGAGGCAGAGGUUGCAGUGAGCCGAAAUCAUGCCACUGCACUGCAGCCUGGGUAACAGAGUCUUGGUCUCAAAAAACAAACAGACUUAGACAUUAUCAUCUUGAGCCAUCAGAUUCAUUGUUACUGAGAUUCUUUGCCAAACCUGAAGGUAAGACAAAUUUACAACCUUUUUGUCUUAGACCAAAGGCUGUAUGUUUCUUUGGUAGGUAAGAGGAACAGAGCACAGGUGACCUACUUAUUCAUAUCUCUUUAUCUCCCAGUAUGGGGUUGCUUCCUCUGAACUAGGGCAAGGGUCAAGUCUCUGACUCAGUUUUUCCCUGAAAGUGGUCACAAAGUCUGCUGAGCAUCGUUUAGGGAUGUGGAUGCCUUGGCCCCAUCACCUGCCCAUCUAAAGUAAGUAUGUUAUGUAAUCGAACAGAUAUUUACUACUUAGUAUGUGCCGAGCACUGACAUUCAUGCUUUCACAUGCUUCACUAGGUUUUACUUAAUAAUAUUUUUGCAUAACUGUUGUCCUUUGAGAAUUAUAAGCUCCCACAUACAUUAUUUUAGUUCAUUUAAUCAUAUCUUCUAGACCCAUUUUCUCCUGUUGUUUCUUUGUUUCAACGAAGAAAAAUAUUUAGGGAAAGAGUCCUUAAAGAUUUUAGUUAUUCUAAGUAAUAGUUUUAGUUAUUCAGAUGCUGCUAUUGAGAUUUAGAUAGAGCGUCAUUCAUCUACUCAGGAACAAUUGCAGAAAGGUAGAAUCUGCAUUGAGCCAAACUUCAGGGCCGAUCGUGCUUUCUAGAAAUGCUGUCCAUUACCAGCAGUCAGCUACUUGAGCUCAGAAUGGAUGAGCAAGGAUGGAUUUUCCUCCCUGUGGCUUCUUUGUUGUUCUUUCUUUUUGUUUUUAUUUCUGAAGAUACAUCAGCAUCCUCUCUAUGGCUUCUGAUCCAAAGGUAUGCUAUAUGCAUGCAUCUUUUUGUUAUUGUUGUUGUUGUUGUUGUGAGACAGAGUCUCGCUCUGUCUCCCAGGCUGGAGUGCAGUGGCGUAAUCUCAUCCACUUUGGCCUCCCAGAGUGCUGGGAUUACAGGUGUGAGCCACUGUGCCCAGCCUACAUGAGGUUUUUAAAACUCCUAAGAGUGUAAUAGGGUCUUUCAUUUUUUGUUGGAUGGUAGGAUUAGAUACACUGAACAGCCUUCUUGAUUAACACAAUAAAGUGCUCCCUGUAGGCCAGGCAUGGUGGCUCACGCCUAUAAUCACAGCACUUUGGGAGUCUGAGGCGAGCAAACUGCCUGAGCUCAGGAGUGGAAGACCGGCCUGGGCAAGGUGGCGCAUGCCUGUAUUCCCAGCUGCUCAGGAGGCUGAGGCAUGAGAAUCUCUUGAACCUGGGAGGUGUAGGUUGCAGUGAGCCAGUAUCACUCCACUGAUCUGCCUGGGCAAUAGAGCGACAGAGACUGUCUCCAAAAAAAUAAAAAUAAUAACAUGAAAUGCUAACUAUAAUGUAAUGUGUCCUGAGCUCGCAUGAAAACGAGAAAUCUGUAGAUCUUAAGAACUAAAUGAACAAAAUAUUUCUGAAAAGUAAGCCAGUGCCAAAGCUGGCUGGUGCUUGCCCUGAUGAUUUCUGUCAAAUUGUGGAAACUUUGGGCUUAUGCUUUCAAAGCUGCUUGGAAUGUAGCAAACAGGCCUGAAAGUGUGGGGUGUACCCUAGGUGAGAAAUCAUACCAGAGGCCCUCCCUAAAGCUGAGAUUUCAAAAGAGCUUCAGUGUAAGGGCCAAUGAGAAGGAAACCUCACUGUGAGCAUUUUAUGACCAUGAGUUAACCUUCACCUGAGUUUUUAGUUGGAAUUCAUACUACCUAUGUACUCUGGAAAACCUUGAGCAGCAGAUGGUUUAAUUUAUAGUGAUCUCUAUCUGAUAGUUUCCCAGGGUGACUGGCAGAAGCAAAGACAAAUCCUCUCUGGAAAAGAGCAGCUUCAACUCAGGCCACAAAGAAUUCCCAUGGAUACUGUUUCAUGGAAAUCAGCCCACAGCCUUUAAUAUAGUUCAAGUAAAUAAUUGUAAUUCUCAAAAAGCUAUCUUAUAAAGGAUAAACAAAGGAUAAAUCAGGCAUGGUGGCUCAUGCCUGUAAGCCCACCACUUAGGGAAGCCAAGGCAGGAGGAUCACUUGAGCUCUGGAGUUCAAGACCUGCCUGGGAAAUAUGGUUAAGACCCCAUCUCUACAAAAAGAUUUAAAAAUUAGUCAGGCAUGGUGGCAUGCACUUGUAGUCCCAGAUACUUGGGAGGCUAAGGCGGGUGGAUGCCUUAAAUCCAGGUGUUUAAGGCUUCAGUCAGCCAUGACCUAGCCACUGCAGUCCAGCCAAACUGAUCACAUUGUGCCCUUUAAGUAUGUGCAGUUUUAAUACACUUCGGUUAUACCGUAAUGACAUUGUGAAGAAAAAAACCUAAAAGAAUAUUUUUAACCCCUUUAGCUUUAAAAGACACAAUUUAUUAUUUACUAACUAUAAGAGUGAAGACAUUUUAAUAUCCUUUUUAAAUGUUAAUUUAUUGAGAUAAAAUUCAUAUUCCAUAAAGUUCAGACUUUUAAAGUACACAAUUCUGUUAAUUAUAUUUGUAGAGCAAUAUAACAAUCACCACUAAUUUCAGAACAUUUUCAUCACCUCAAAAAGAAACUGUAUACUUAUCAUGUCAUCUCCAUUCUCCCCUCUUCCUAACCCCUGUCAACCACCAGUCUACUUUCGGUCUCUCUAGAUUUGCCUGUUCUGGUUGUUUCAUACUAAUGGAAUAAUGUAAUUACGUGGCCUUUUGUAUCGGGCUUCUUCUGGUUUGCUUAAUGUUUUAAGGUUCAUCCAUGUCACAGCUCAUAUCAGUACUUCAUUCCUUUUUAUGCCUGAAUAAUAUUCUAUUAUAUGAAUAGCCCACAUUUUUUAAUUCAUUUAUCAGUUUCAUAAACAUUUAGGUUGUUUGCAUAUUUUGGCUAUUAUUGAUAAUGUUGCUAUGAACAUUUGUGUGUGAGUUUUUAUGUGGACAUAUGCUUUCAUUUCUCUUAGAUAUAUAUACCUAGAAAUAGUAUUGUUUGGUCAUGUGGUAAAUUGCAUUUAACUGUUGGAGGAACUUCCAGACUAAAUGGUUUUCCAAAGCAGCUGCAUUAUUUUACAUUCUCACUAGCAGCAAAUAUACAAGGGUUUAGUUUCUCCACAUCUUCACCAAGACUUGUUACUAUUGUCUUUUUCAUUAUAGCCAUCCUAGUGUAUGUGAAGUGGUAUCUCAGUUGUGAUUUUCACUUGCAUUUCUCAAUAAUUAAUGAUGUAGAACAGCUUUUCAUGUGUUCACUGGCUAUUUGUAUUUCUUUGGAAUACUAACUAUUCAAAUAUUUGCCCACUUAUAAAAUUGGGUUGUCUUUUGUUGAAUUGUAGGAGUAGAUAGAUAGAGAGAGAGACAGACAGACAGACAGUCAGUCAGUCAGUGUGUUGCCGAGGCUGGUUUUGAACUCUGGGCUCAAGCAAUCCUCCUGCCUUGGCCUCCUAAAGUACUGGGAUUACAGGCAUGAGCCACCACACUCAGCCUUGAGUUGUAGGAGUUCUUUAUAGAUUCUGGAUACAAUCCUUUAUCAGAUACAUGAUUUGCAAAUAUUUUCUCCCUUCUUUGAGUUGGUUGUCCUUGCACUUUCUUGAACAUUUUAAUUUUUAUGAAGUCCAAUUAAUCUGUUUGUUUUUUUUUUUUUUUUUGGUUACUUGUGCUGUGGUGUGAUAAAGACAUUUUUAAACAAUAAGAAUUGGGAGAAGCUGGUGCGCACCUGUGUUCUCAAGGCUUAGGAGGCUGAGGCAGGAGGAUCACUGGAGCCCAGGCAUUGGAGUCCAGUGAAAACAUAGUGAGACCCUUUCUCCCCCAGCCCCUCAAAAAAAAAAAAAAAACAACAACAGAGUUUAUCACCAAAUAUCCUUACUAGAGGAAGUUUCUUCUACCUGAAGUACAUACAUUAGAAAACUAUCCUAGAUUCCAAAGGAAUGGUGAACAAUGAUUGUGACUAUAAAAUUGGAUCCGAUCGAUUACAAAAGAACCAUGGAGUUAAAAGGUGCCUUAGAAGACAUCAGGGUUAGUCUCUUACCUAAUGAAAAAAAAAAAUCGUCCUCCAGUGUCCUCAAUGGCCUCUGCUUCAUAUACUUCCCCAGAAUUUAUCAUGAGAUAGUCACUAAACAAGUCUCUCCUCAGACUGCGCGAGGUGGCUUGUGCCUGUCAUCUCAGCACCUUGAAAGGGCAAGGUAGGAGGAUCACUUGAGCCCAGGAGUUCAAGACCGGCCAUGCAAUAUAGCAAGAUCCUGCUUCUAUAAAAAAUUCUUUUAAAAAAUUAGUGGGUAUGGUAUGCAUACAUGGUUCUAGCCAUUCAAGUGACUGAGGCAGAAGGGUCACAUGAGCCCAGGAUUUCAAGGUUACAGUGACCUGUAAUUGUGCCACUGCACUCCAGCCUGGAUGACAGAGCUAGACUAUAUCUCUAAAAGAAAAAAAAAGUUUCUUCUCAAAAUACAGUCUGCCUUCCUGUAAUUCCCACUUAAUGAUUUUUAAAAGGUUUUCUUAAAAUCACAAAGUCUGGGGCUGGGUGCAGUGCCUCACACCUGUAAUCCCAGCACUUUGGAAGGCCAAGGUGGGCGGAUCGCCUGAGGUCAGGAGUUCGAGACCAGCCUGACCAACAUGAAGAAACCCCAUCUGUACUAAAAAAAUAAGAAAAAAAAUAGCCAGGCGUGGUGGUGCACUUCUGAAUCCCAGCUAUUUGGGAGGCUGAGGCAAGAGAAUCGCUUCAAAUUGGGAGGCAGAGGUUGCGGUGAGGCGAGAUUACACCAUUGCCCUCCAGCCUGGGCAACAAGAAACAAGAUGGAAACUCCGUCUCAGUCAGUCAGUCAAUAAAAUCACAAAGUCUGUUUCUUCUGUAUCUGACACACCUUAGUUAUACUUGAAAUUCUCUUUUUCUUUUCUCUAAGCUAAACAAACCAGUGCAGUCAAACAGAUUCUUGGCCAGUGCUGUGAAAUAUUAAAGAAAUUUCUGUAAUGAUGCAGUGUUUAGUACUGUAAUGAUGGAAAGUUACGGUUUCUGCACCAUCCUAUAUGGUAGCCACUGGCCAUAUGGGACUGUUGAAUACUUGAAAUAUGGCUAGUGCAACAAAUUUUAAUGCAAUUAAAACAAAUUUUUAUGUAAUUAAAUUGAAAUAUCCACAUGUAGCUAGUGGCUACUGUACUAAACACUGCAAUUCUAGAUCAUUCUCCUGGCCAGAUUUCUCUGUGCCAAUACCAGCAGUAUCAGAUUCACCUGGGAAGUUGUAAUGUUUUAGACCCUCCCUCAGCCUUGUGACUCAUAAACAGUUGAAGAUGGAGCCCAGCAAUCUCAUUUAACAAGCUCUCCAGGUGAUUCCAAUGCACUCAAUACUUGAAAGCCAAUUCCAGUUUGUCAAGACUUCUGUUAAAAGCAGUGCUCAGACAAGGUCUGACAUGCAUGGAUUUCACCUAAAGAGAGCUUCAGUGGUUUUUUUUUAAAAAAAAUUGAAUACUAUUCUCUAAGUAGUGCAUUGACUGCAUGUUAUAAAAAUGAAUACAAUGUGUAUAUGAAGAAUUUUUAAAAAUAAAGUGCCAGGCCAGGUGCAAUGGUGUAAUUACAGCACUUUUCGAGUCUAAGGUAGCAGAUCAUUUGAGGUCAGGAAACCAGCUUAGGCAACAUGGCGAAACCCCAUCUCUAUUAAAAAUACAAAAAAUAGCUGGGCAUGGUGGCACAGGCCUGUAGUCCCAACUACUUGGGAGGCUGAGGUGGGAGGAUCACUGGAGCCUAAGAAGUGGAGGUUGCAGUGAGCGGAGGUCUCACUCUCACACUCCAGCAUGGGUGACAGAGACCCUGUCUCAAAAAUAAAGUACCCAUUACAGUUUAAUAAUAAUAAUAAUUAGUUAACCAGCACUUUCCCAGCUGGGCAUGGUGGCUCAUGCCUGUAAUCCCAGUACCUUGGGAGGCUGAGGUGGGUGGAUCACUUGAGCUCAGGAGUUCAACACCAGCCUGGUCAACAUGGUGAAACCCUGCCUCUACUUAAAAUACAAAAAUUAGCCAGGUGUGGUGGUAUGCUCCUAUAAUCCCAACUACUUGGGAGUCUGAGGCAGGAGAAUUACUUGAACCCUGGAGGUAGAGGUUACAGUGAGCCAAGAUUGCACUACUGCACUUCAGCCUGGGUGACAUAGUGAGACUUGUCUAAAAAAAAUACAAAAAAAACCCCUUUUUUAAAAAAGGCCUGGAACAGUGGCUCACACCUGUAAUUCCCAGCAUUUUGGGAGUGAAGGCAGGAAUCACUUGCGGUCAGGAGUUCAAGAGGACCUUGUCCAACAUGGAGAAACCCUGUCUCUACUAAAAAUACAAAAUUGCCUGGGAUGGUGGCACAACCUGUAAUCCCAGCUUCUUGGGAAGCUGAGGCAGAAGAAUUGCUUGAUCCUGGGAGGCGGAGGUUGCAGUGAGCCGAGAUUAUGCCACUGCACUCCAGCCUUGGUGACAGAGCGAGACAGAGAAUUUUGAGAAAAUUUCAUUUUCUCAAAAAAUGAAAAAAAAAACAGGCACUUUUCCAUAAGUCUCGCAUGGUCUUACAAUACUGGAUCCCUGAGCUCUUGAUUUUCAGUCUGGCAUGCUUUCCAUCGAUUAGGCUGUUUGAUGAAACAGUCCUCACUGUUUGGUUGGUGUCUCCCAGAAGAGAAGAAUCUGGUUCCUUGGCAAGUAUUUUGCCUACCCCAUUCGGGGGCUGUUUUGGCCUUUUUUGCACAACUUUCCCAUUGUUGGCUGCCUCUGUCGUCACUCCCAGUGCCCUGGAAACGUCUCCCUUUUUUAGGGUUUAACAGAGUUAACCUAUAUAGUUACCUUCUUAUAAUAUGACUUUUGUCCUCUUACGCUUGAAACCUAGAAGAGGAGCUGGCUUGUUCUGCUGGCCUUGAGCCAGAUGUCAUAACUUCAGGCAAUGCCACUCUACAUAUCUCCAGCAGUUUGGAAUGGAGAACAGAGCUAGAGAUAAGAUCAGCAGCUUUAGGUGAUGGCAUUGUUUCAAAUAAACCAUGCAUGACCCAAGCUUCCACUUCAAAUGGGGAAUGAAAUUGCUUUAUCCUUUGACAGCUUGCUCUAUGAAAUAAAUUUAUCUUCACUUAAUUGCUUUAGAUCCCAAGAGGCUACAUGCAGUCAUUUCUAGGAGAUAAUUGUAUCAAAUUUUAAAAAUCUGUGACUGUGGACAUGAAUAUGUAACAGCAGUGGACAGGGACAGGGAGAGGUGGGAAAAGCAGAAGUCCUGCUGAACUUGCUAGUGAGUUUCCGUUCUUAUUCUUAGAGAACCCUUGAGUCAUAGACCACUUACUCUCCAAAUCUGCUGAUUCAGAUGCGGGGGUCCUUGGCACCCCUUGCUGCUAGUAUGUUAAAGCAUCUUGUCUACCACUCAUGUAGCUGGAUAGUGUUUUGCUCAGACUCCUCCUGAAACUGGGGAGGGGUCAGGCCGGUGGCAGACUUCUGGUGAUAUGUCUUCAUUUAGUCCAACUGGGCACAGUUUGUCUACACGGUAGGCCACAGCCACUGGGAGUUCUGGUUAGUGGCAGCUGAAAACCAGCAAACUUGUUGAUUUUAAAACAUGACUAUUUAGAUGAUAGGAAUAAACUUUCUGUAGAUGGGGGACAGGCUUCUUUAUCUUGGCAUGUUUAAAUAUCCAGUUCUCAUUUCCCUAACCUUCAUAUUUGAAAAAAAUCUAAAGCUUUCACUGUCAUUUUCACUAAUCCCAGCCCCUGGCUACCUUUACCCUGCAUUUUUUUUUCUUCUUUCUGAAAUUGCAGGGUUUGUUUGUUUUUUUUCUGCCUUCUACUAAAUAACUGUAUUUUCAUGUUGUGAUGUAACAACCCAGACCAAAGGCAUUUUCCAGGUGUGGACACAGUUCUGGGUCAUCUCUCAGCUCUUUUUGUCUGCAUCUACCUUUAAGAUGACACACUGGACAGUUAGAUUGUGAGCUUCAUGAGACCAGCCCUGAGCAACAUCCCUAAGUGUCUAGUGUGGUGCUCAUGUCUUAGGAGGGCUCUGUGAGUUAGAGCCAGUGAGGCACCGCUGCUGUAAAGACAAGGAGGAUCUGACUUGAGAUACAGAGCAUUUUUGGAUUUUGUACUGAGAUCAGUGAACAUCUCAGCCAGCUUGGGGGUGGGGCGUGUGCCACAAUCGAUCAAGGCAGUCUGACUCAAGCGGAGAAUCUAUAUAGGGCCAUCAAGUUCUUUCCAGGCUGAGUCUCACUCGCUGUCUGCUUUCGAGGGGUCACUCUCCAGGUGUCUCUUAUCCCUUCUUUCUCUUUCUCACUUCAUCAGGGUCAGCCACACUCCUCAGUCAGUCAGAGGGAGUGUUGCCUUUUCUUUUAAGCGCCUCCCCAGGAAACCUGACGGCCAUCUUGAGUAAGCCAAUUUGCAUUUGAAAAGGUCUUGCUGGCGUGCCUCUAAGGGAAAUCUGCAGCAAGCACUGUCACAUCACUUCUUGGCGUCACAUCAAGGAGGUUUUUUUUUAAGGAAUUAUACUUUAGCUCACAUCUCAAACAUGAGCACCUGAAUAGCAGCCUGGAGAGGUCAUCAGGGUCAGAGAUUUGUUCUAGUCUGUUUCUUUUGAGGUAGAAAAACAUUUCUCUGGGUAUCACCACCUUUGGUACUCCCUUCUGGAGAGUUGCUUUUCUCCUGCCUGCCUGUUAAUCUGGUAGUAGUAAACUGUACCAAGAAGCUUUCCAUGGUUAAUAACCUUGAUUCAACCCUUUUCUUUUAGUUGAAUCCUUUUUGACACAGGGUCUCACUGUCACCCAGGCUGGAGUGCAGUAGCAAGAUCUCUGCUCUCUGCAGUCUCUACUUCCUGGGUUCAAGUAGCAGCCCUUCCACCUCAGCCUCCCAAGUAGCUGGGACUACAGGUGUGUGCCACCAUGCCCAGCUAAUAUUUUGAUUUUUUAUUUGUUUGUUUUUUUAAGAGAAGCCUGGUCUUGAACUCCUGGCUUAAGCAGUCCUCCUGCCUUGGCCUCCCAAAGUGCUGAAAUUACAGGUGUCAGCCACCAUGCCUGACCUUAAUUGGAUCUUCUAGAAGCAGAACAUGCCUGUUUUUUCUUGUGUUUUAUUUGAUAAAAAGAACAUACUAAACUUAUGUAAGGCCUUACCAAGAAGGAUAAUUGAACUUCUGGUAUCUUUACACAAAAAAAGCUUAAAAAAAAAAAAAAAAGGUGAGGACUUUUCAGGGAUUGAAUCAUUUUUGGUGCCUUUUUUGGUAGAUUCCAUGAAUCCAGUUUUGGUGCGUUCAGUAAAGUUUGCCCCGAGUUUGUCUUAGGGGAGAGAGAGAGAGAGAGAGAGAGAGAGAGAGAGAGAGAGAGAGAGAGAGAGAGAGAGAGAUAUAUAGAGAUGUGUGUAUUGAACAUAUGAUCUGUUCCUCUGGAAAGAUCAUUAAAUCCAAAUCGGGAAAUGGAGACUUUCCAAGGAAUGUCAGGAGCAGGUGAAAAGAAAACAUUUUGCCAUAGAUAUUUAGAAUAAGUGAGAUAGAUCUGAUAAGAAUGAAGAAGUGCCAUGAUUUACUUCUAUUUCUUCACUGUGUGGCUGACUGAUAACAGUCACUAGCCACAUCUGUCUACUUCAGAUUAAAUUAAUUGGUCAGGUGCAGUGACUCAUCCCUAUAAUCCCAGCACUUGGGGAAGCCGAGGUGGGUAGAUUGCUUGAGACCAGGAGUUCAAGAUCAGCCUGGCCAACAUGGUGAAACCCUGUCUCUGCUAAAAAUAAAAAAAUUAGCCAGGCAUGGUAUGCAUGCCUGUAAUUUCAGCUACUCAGGAAAUGGAGACAUGAUAAUCACCUGAACUCCAGGACAGAGGUUGCAGUGAACCAAGUUCGCACCACUGCACUCCACCCUGCGCAACAGAGUGAAACCGUAUGUAUAUGUGUGUAUAUAUACGUAUAUAACGUAUAUACAUAUAUGUGUGUAUAUACAAAUGUACAUACGUGUGUGUGUGUGUGUGUGUGUGCUGGGUAUGUUAUCUCAUGCCUGUAAUCCCAGGACUUUCCAGGACUUUGAGAGGCCAGUGCGGGAGGAUUGAGCCCAAGAAUUCAAGACCAGCAUGGGCUAACAUAGUGAGGUCUUAUCGCUACAAAAAAUUUAAGUGCUGGGCAUGGUGGUACGGGCCUGUAGUCAUGGCUGUUCAAGGGGCUGAGGUGGGAAGAUUGCUUGAGCCUGAGAGGUUAAGACUACAGUGAGCUGUGAUUGCACCACUGCACUCCAGCCUGGGUGACAGCAAGAACUCUGUCUCAAUCAAGCAAUCAAAAGUUAGUUAAUGAAAAUUGAAUAAAAUUGAAAAUUAAGUUCUUCAGUCACAGUAGUCACACUUCCAAGUGGCCAAUAACCACGUGAGACUGAUGGCUGUUGUAUUGUCAAGCAUAGUAUAGAUUACUUCUGUUAUUGCCGUAAAGUUCUCUUAGACAUUUUUUUUGUGGUAAAGUCACUAAGCAUAUUUUUUGUGAUAGUCACUAAGCAUAACUCAGUUAUAAGGUUGGGGUUGGUGGGGAUGGAAGGGGAAAGAGGAGAUGCUGGGCAGCAGAUAGAGUUUUCGUUAGACAAGAGAAGUAGGUUCUUGUGAUCUGUUAUACAGCAUGGUGACUGGAAUGAAUAAUGUAUUUUAUAUUUAAAAAUAGCUUAAGGAAUAGGUUUUAAGCCAGGCGCAGUGGUUCACGCCUAUAAUCUCAGCACUUUGGGAAGCCAAGUUAGGAGGAUCACGAGGUCAAGAGAUCAAGACCAUCCUGGCCAACAUGUUGAAACCCUGUCUCUACUAAAAAUACAAAAAUUAGCAGGGUGUGGUGGCAUGUGCCUGUAGUCUCAGCUACUUAGGAGAAUCACUCGAACCAGGGAGGCAGAGGUUGCAGUGGGCUGAGAUCGCACCACUGCACUCCAUCCUGGCAACAGACCGAAACUGUCUCAAAAAAAAAGAUUUUAAAUGUUCUCACCACAAAUAAGUAAGUAUAUGAGAUGACAGAUGUGUUACAUAGCUCAAUUUGAUUGUUUUACAUGUAUACAUUUAUCAAAACAUCACAUUGUGCUUCAUAAGUAUAUACAAUUAGUUUGUCAAUUUAAAACUAUUUGGCCAGGUACAGUGGUUCAUGCCUGUAUUCCCAGCAUUUUGGGAGGCCAAGGUGGGUAGAUCACCUGAGUUCAGGAGUUCGAGACCAGCCUGGCCAACAUGGCAAAACCCCAUGUAUUUUCUCUACUAAAAACACAAGAAUAAGCUGGAUGUGGUGUCAUGCGCAUGUAAUGCUAGCUACUUUGGAGGUUGAGGCAGGAAAAUCCCCUGAACCUGGGAGGCAGAGGUUGCAGUGAGCCGAGAUUAUGCCAUGGAACUCCAGCCAAGGUGACAGAGUGAGACUGUCUCAGAAAAAAUAAAUAAAUAAAGUAAAAACUAUUUUUAAAACAGGUCUGGGAUAAUGACAGGGAGGAUACUAAGAGGGAGAUACUGGGAUUUGAAUAGCUGGAGCCAUCUAAUUAGGAAUGAAUCUGCAUCAGAAGCAGUGGACUUCAGAGUGGAAAAUUACAAGAUUCCUAUUGAGAUAAUUUAGUAGUAUAUUUAAUGGAAUUCAGAAUAUUAUCUCCAACAUAACAGAUUUUCAUGAUCUUCUAUAGGAAAUUUUCUACUCUAUUAUAAACACAGUCUCUUUUCAUAGACUUUUUAAAAAGUUAUUUUCUUUGUCUCUAUAUUUCUUUGCCUUCAUCAUUAACUCUUGCUUUUCCGUUCUCAGUGUCUCAUUUUUGUUGAUAAAACUUACAUCAGAAAUUUCCAUAGUGCUAUUAAGAUGUAUUAUUUCAUUUGAUUCCCACUACAGCUCUAUGAGGCAUUAUCACUUUUUUAUUUUUUAUUUUUAUUUUUUUGAGCUGGAGUCUUGCUGUAUUACCUGGGCUCCCAGGCUGGAGUGCAGUGACAUAAUCUCGGCUCUCUGCAACCUUCGCCUACUGGAUUCAAGCAAUUCUCCUGCCUCAGCCUCCCAAGUAGCUGAGAUUACAGGUGUGCGCCACCAUGCCCAGCUACUUUUUGUAUUUUUAAUAGAGACGGGUUUCACCAUAUUGGCCAGACUGGUCUCAAACUCCUGACCUUUGUGAUUCACACACCGCGGCUUCUCAAAUUGAGCAUUAUCACAUUUUACAACUGAGAAGAUUAAGACUUAGACUGAUUUAUCUGAAAUUAUAUGGCAAUACUAGGUCAGAACCCUGACAUAUGAUUUAAUAUUAGUUUUAGGUGAAUAAGAGGCCUAAACAUAUAGUUUUAUCCACUCAUAUCAAGAGUUUAGACAUAGGCAGUCCAGGGCUAGUGUUUAGGCUCUACUGCUUUGCUUCCCCAGGUUGGCAGACACUGGAGCCUUCAGCUUAUACAACAUCCUAGGAUGUGGUUCCAUCCCAAGAUGGCUAACAGAGCAUCAGCAGUCAGCUUAAUGGAGGAAGAAAACAGAAAGGAUAUGCCCCAUACAUUUAAAGAGACUUUAAGGUUUUAUAUAAAAGUUCUAUUUAUAAAUAUCUCAAGAGUAACAUGGCUAUCCUAGCUGCAGAGAAGGCUGAAAGUAUAGUCACCUGGCUGCUGGCUGGCAGAAAUGUACCCAGCUAUUAGCCAGACAUGGUAGCAUGUACCUGUAAUGCUAGCUACUCUAGAGGCUGAGACAGGAGGAUCACUGGAGCCAAGGAGUUUGAGGCUGCAGUGAGCUAGGAUCAUGCCACUGUAUUCCAUCCCUGGGGGACAGAUUGAGACCCUGCGUCCAACACACACGCACACAUGCACUCUUAGCUAAAAAUCAGUUAUUUUGCAAAAGAAGGGAAGACCGGAUUGGGAUGUAACUAGCAAUCUCUGCUCCAACAGGCAUUUUGAUAUUUGGUCUAGUGCUUUCCCUCUGUUUCACGUUGUCUCUGACUUGUUAGCUAAUGAUUUAAUCAUCUAAGCCUCCAGGGCUGCCAUUUUUUCCAAAAGUUCCUUCUCUCCCAGAUGAAUAAUUACAAUAAAAGCCACAGUUUAAUGAGGACUUGCUUUGUUUUAGGGGUUAUUCUAAAUAUUUUGCAUGGUUUUUUUUUUUUUUUUUUUUUGAGAUGGAGUCUUACUCUGUCGCCAGGCUGGAUUGCAGUGGCGCAAUCUUGGCUCACUGCAACCUCCGCCGGGGUUCAAGCGAUUCUUCUGCCUCAGCCUCCCGAGUAGCUGGGACCACAGGCACACGCCACCAUGCCUGGCUAAUUUUUGUAUUUUUAGUAGAGAUGGGGUUUCACCAUGGCCAGAAUGGUCUUGAUCUCUUGACCUCGUGAUCCGCCUGCCUCGGCCUCCCAAAGUGCUGGGAUUAUAGGCGUGAGCCACCAUGCCCGGACUUAAAAUCAUUGCCUUUUUUUUUUUUUGAGACGGAAUUUUGCUCUUCUUACCUAGGCUGGAGUGCAAUGGCGCGAUCUCGGCUCACCGCAACCUCCGCCUCCUUGGUUCAAGCAAUUCUCCUGCCUCAGCCUCCUGAGUAGCUGGGACUACAGGCACGCACCACCAUGCCCAGCUAAUUUUUGUAUUUUUAGUAGAGACGGGGUUUCAUCUUGUUGACCAGGAUGGUCUCGAUCUCUUGACCUCGUGAUCCACCCGCCUCAGCCUCCCAAAGUGCUGGGAUUAUAGGCGUGAGCUACUGCACCCAGCUAAUAUUUUGCAUGUUUUAAAACUUUUUUUUUGAGACAGAGUCUCACUCUGUCACCCAGGCUAGAGUACAGUGGCACCAUCACACUCACUGCAACCUCUGCCCCCUAGGUUCAAGUGAUUCUUCUGCCUGAGCCUCUCGAGUAGCUGGGGCUAUAGGCGUGUGCCACCACGCUCAGCUAAUUUCUAUUUUUAGUAGAGACAAGGGUUUCACCAUAUUGACCAGGUUGGUCUUGAACUCUUGCUCUCUUGGUCUCAAGCAGUUCACUUACCUUGGCCUUCCAAAGUGCUGGGAUUACAGGCAUCAGCCACCGUGCAGUCUUUUAAAAACAUUUAAUCCUCACAGCUACCCUGUGGAGUACAUAUCAUUAUUAGCCUCUAUUUUAUAUUCGAGAAAACUGAGGUACAAAACUACCAGUGAUUUGCCCAAAGUUACACAAAUAGUGAAUGGCAGAGUCGGAAUUUAAGGCCAGGAAGUCUAGCUCCAAAGCCCAUCCUCUGAAGCACGCCUUCUCUACAGGGCCUCUUGGGGAAGUGCUGGAAUUGCCCAGAGGUUGAAAGUGGCCUUUACCACCACUGGAAGCCUGGCUGAUCAAGCCACCUCCCUAAAGGCAUCCCUUCUCAGGACUGUUCAAAAGCUGUAUUCAAAACAGUAUAUUGGCUGGGUGCAGUGGCUCAUGCCUGUAAUCCCAGCACUUUGAGGGGCUGAGAUUGGCAGAUCGCUUCAACCCGGAAGUUCCAGACCACCUUGGGCAACAUGGUGAAUCCCCAUCUCUACAAAAAAAUACAAAAAUUAGCCUGACAUGGUAGCAUGCACCUGUAGUCCCAGCUACUUGGGGGGCUGAGGCAGGAAUAUUACUUGAGCCUGGGAGAUUGAGGCUGCAGUGAACUGUGCUCACACCACCCUGAGUGGCAAAAUGAGACCCUGUCUCGACAACAACAAAAACCAAUAUAUUUAAUGAGCCUCCUUGUUUUUCUCUUCACUGUCCCCUUUCUUCUGUCACUCGAAGACCUGAGGCUGGAAAAAGAGAUUCACAUGCUUUUUCUUUUAGAAAGUUUACUUCCUGUACCUCAUGUAGGAACUUGCAUGAGAAGAUUGUGCUAGGUAAUUAAUUAGAUGUCUGCAGAGAAUCUAGAGGCUCAAAGUUUCUACAUCUGUUAAUAGAAAUUUGAUUUCCAAGUACAGUUUUUUAUUUCUCUUCACUCCACUCCCCUGGUACAGAGUUGUGACAGGUAAGAGAACCAUCCAUUGGUCAUUCCACGCCUCUUCCCCAUAGACAACUCAGUGAGACCGGGGCUUGACUUUACAGUCCAUAUGUAGCCUGGCUUCUCUGCAAGGAUGAAACAUCUCCCCUUAAGGUGCUCUGAGGCUUGACUUCCGGCAUUCAUUUAACAUUGGAUUUUUAUUGAACACUUACUGUUUACCAAGCAUUCACAAUGCUGGGGAUUUUGUGGUGAAUGAGGCUGGCAUAGUGUCUUAUUUCACAGAUUUUAUGUUCUAGUUAAGGGGAGAGUCAGAGCAAAUAAAGAAAUAAAUAAGCAAAAUAAAUUGGCUGGGCAUGUUUUGGCUCAUGCCUGUAAUCCCAACACUUUGAGAGGCCAAGGCAGGAGGAUUGCUUGUGCCCAAAAGUUCCUUUUUUUUUUUUUUUUUUUUUUUUUUUCUGGAGACAGAGUCUCACUCUGUCAUCCAGGCUGGAGUGCAGUGGUGCCAUCUUGACUCACUGCAACCUCUACUUCCUGGGUUCAAGUGAUUCUCCUGCCUCUAUCUCCAAAGUAGCUGGAAUUACAGGUGCCCACCAUUACACCCAGCUAAUUUUUGCAUUUUUAGUAGAGACGGGGUUUCACCAUGUUGGCCAGGCUGGUAUUGAACUCCUGGCCUCAAGUGAUCGCCCCCACCUCGGCCUCCCAAAGUGCUAGGAUCACAGGCAUGAGCCACUGUGCCCAGCUGAUUGGUUUUUAUUGAUUUGCAAGUCUGAAUGUGAAUCUUUGUCAGCUAUGUGCAUUGCAGAUCAUCUAGUUUAUAGUUUAAUUUUAGACUUAUUUAUGGCAUUUUAUUUGCAUAAAAAAAUUUAUUUUUAUGCAUUUCCUUUAUGGUUUAUGUUUUAUUUAAGAAGUCCUUUCUGGCUGGGUGCAGUGGCUCACUCCUGUUGUCCCAGCACUUUGGGAAGCUGAGGGAGUCAGAUCACAAGGUCAGGAGUUCAAGACCAGCUUGGCCAAUAUGGUGAAACUCUGUCUCUACUAAAAAUGCAAAAACAACUAGCCGGGCAUGGUGGUGCGUACCUGUAGUCCCAGCUGCUCCAGAGGCUGAAGCAAGAGGAUUGCUUGAACCCAGGAAGUGGAGGUUGCAGUGAGCCGAGGUGGUGCCACUGCACUCCAGCCUGGGCAACAGAGCAGAACUCUCUAAAAAAAAAAAAAAGAAAUCCUAAGUGUGCAGUAUUGGCCAUAUAUUGAUGAUUGUUGAAGCUAGACGAUGUUAUCAGGUUUAUUUAUGAUACUAGUCUCUCCUUUUAUAUAUGUUUGAGAUUUUCCAUAAUAAAAAAUUUUAAUUAAAACAGGACCACUGGCAUGCAUUUAAUAGCAAAUAUGCUUAAAGUUUUAUUGUAGAUGAAAAUCAAUUGUCCUAAUAAUAAGCCAGAGCUUAUAAUUCGGUGGGGUAAAAGGGUCUACUUUUAUCUCUUUACAAGACUUUAUUAUUUGAUCUUGUUUUUGAAGAGGGAGUCUUGCUCUUGUUGCUCAGGUUGGAGUGCAGUGGCGCGAUUUUGGCUCACUGCAACCUCUGCCUCCUCGGUUCAAGCAGUUCUCCUGCCUCAGCCUCCCGAGUACCUGGGAUUACAGGUGCCCAACACUACGCCCAGCUAAUUUUUGUAUUUUUAGUAGAGACGGAGUUUUACCUUGUUGACCAUGCUGGUCUCAAAUUCCUGACGUCAGGUGAUCUAGCCACCUCGGCCACCCAAAGUGCUGGGAUGACAGGCAGGAGCCACCACCCCUGAUCCAUUUGAUCUUUUUUUCUAAAAACCACUUUGUUGUUAGGUUACAAUAUUACCAAGAAUAAUUGCAAUUUUACAUGGAAAAAAAGGAAACUUUACAUACCCUGAGGUCAUAAAGAAUAUAUACCAACAUAUUCUUCUAAAAAUUUUAGUUUUACUUUAGGUUUUUCUAAAAGUUUGGUUUUUGUUUUAGUUUUACAUUUACAUCUUUGUUCCAUUUGGAAUUUAUUUUUGUAAAGCAGGUUUCCCUGUUUCCUAGUUCUGUGUUCUGUUCCAGUGAGCCAGUGAGCAAUUGCCAUAUUAACAAUAUUUAGUCUUCCCAUCCAUGAACAUGAUAUACCGUUAAUUUAUUCAGGUCUUCUUUUAUGCCCUUCAAGGAUGUUUUUUAAUAUUUCCCAUAAAACCCUUACAUAGUUUUUGUUACUAAUUUAAGUAUCAUAUUUUCUAGUUAACUAUUAACAGUAUGAAUAUAAAUGCUGUUUCUUUCUCUUCAACUUAUAUCAACCUUACUGAACUGUCUUAUUAGUUCUAUAAUAGUGACCAUAAUAACAGAAAUUCUUCCUUUGGUUCUAACUUUAAUAGCAGUGCUUCUAAAGUUACUUCAUUAAAUCUACUUGUCAUAAUUUUUUUUUGAGAUGGAGUCUCACUCUGUCACCCAUGCUGGAGGGCAGUGGUGUGAUCUCAGCUCACUGCAAUCUCUGCUCGCAGGUUCAAGCAGUUCUCCUGCCUCAGCUUCCUGAGUAGCUGAGGUUACAGGUGCGUACCACCACGCCCGGUUGAUUUUUGUAUUUUUAGUAGAAACGGUUUCACCAUGUUGGCUGGGCUGGUCUCAAACUCCUGAUCUCAGGUGAUCCACUCACCUCAGCCUCACAAAGUGCUGGGAUUACAGGUGUGACCCACUGCGCCUGGCCUAUAAAUUUCUGAUAAGUAUGUCUUGUCAGGUUAAGAACAUUCACUUCUAUUCCUUGCUAUGUAUUUUUUUUAAAAAAUCACAAAUGAGAGUUGGAUUUUAUUAAGUAUUUUUUUCUUAAUCUGUUGAUGAUCAUGUCAUUUUUAUUUUUAACCUGUUUAUAUGGGGUUAUACAUUAAUAAUUUUUAGAAAAUACUAAGUUCUUAGCAAAUUGCACUGCCAUGUGUGAACCUUUGCAACAAUCCUGCAUGUUCUUCACAUGUACCCCAAAACCUAAAAUGCAAUAAAGUAAUAAUAAUGAUAAUAAGUUCUUAUUCCCAUUGCUUAGGCUGGAGUACAGUGGUGCAGUUAUGGCCUGGACCUCCCUGGACUGGUCCCUCCCACCUCAGCCUCCUGAGUAACUGAGACUAUAGGUGUGUGCUACCACACCUGGCUAAUUUUUUAUAUUUUUAGUAAAGAUGGGGUUUCACCGUCCUGGGGUCAAACUAUCCACCUGCCUUGGCUUCCCAAAGUGCUGGGAUUACAGGUGUAAGCCACCCUGCCCAUCCUUGUAAUAAAUUUCUAGUUUAAAACUAUCACUUUCUUCCUGAAAUAGUCCAGUGUACUCUCCCAACCUUCAAAAUGAACAUAUUUUUGACUCAUAGUUGUUUCACGAGAGAGAACAUAUUUCUUUCAUUUUCUUAAAGGUUUUUACUCUGCUGCUUACAUGCCAUUUAUUCUUUCUUUCUUUCUUUUUUUUUUUGAGAAUGCAUCUUGCUCUGUUGCCCAGGCUGGAGUGCAGUUUUGCGAUCUCGACUCACUGCAAUAUCUGCCUCCCAUGUUCAAGGGAUUCUCUUGCCUCAGCCUCUCGAGUAUCUGGGACUACAGGUGCAUGCCACCACGCCCAACUAAUUUUUGUAUUUUUAUUAGAGACAGAGUUUCACCAUGUUGACCAGGCUGGUCUCCACCUCCUAACAUCAGCUGAUCCACCUGCCUCAGCCUCCCAAAGUGCUGAGAUUACAGGCGUGACAUGGGAUUACUAUUUGAAAAAGUGUAUGUGUUAUACUAUUCAUUGUGCUAGGGGAAUACAGAAGGAGAAACUUGCAGUUUCUGUAUUAAACGUCAGUAUACUGUAUUAAAAGGACAACCUUACCUUUUGGGAGAGUUGUGGGAUUGAUUUUAGAAGUAGGUGGGGUCACAUUAGAAUAGAUCAGUCUCCUUGGACCUUAUAUUAUCUCCUUAGGUAGAACAAUUCGCGGUCUUAGGGAAUCACAUCUGGCAGCAGACUUUAGGAGAAGAGAAUCAGUAACAGAAGAGGUGAGUUAUAGAGUAGCUGUAAUCUAUGAAGUUGCAGUGAUGAGAAUCUAGUUUAGACUAACAGCAGCAGUAAUGGAAAGUGAGAGUAGCAUUGCAAUAUGGCUCAGUAUUUGUGUAAGUAUAAUGAAGGUGAAGAAGGGAAGGGCUGAAUGUCUUUCUAGGGGCUAAACAACUAGGAAGGUUGAGCUCCUGUGAUUAAAAUGAGAAAGAUGAGAAAGGAAACCUUUGGGGACGUAACAUGUUUGAGGAGAUGGUGACUACAUCUGUACAGCAUUCAGGAUAUUGUCAUAUGCAGCUCAGUGAACAUCAGUGCUAGUGAAAAUCACAACUCUUAAAGAGAGAGAAUCUCUCUCUCUUUUUUUUUAUUUUGAGAUGGAGUCUCACUUUGUGAGCCAGGCUGAAAUGCAGUGGUGCAUUCUCUGCUCACUGCAACCUCCACCUCCUGGGUUCAAGUGAUUCUCCUGCCUCAGCCUCCUGAGUAGCUGGGAUUACAGGUGCCCACCACUGCACUUGGCUAAUUUUUGUAUUUUUAGUAGAGACGGGUUUCACCAUGUUGGUCAGGCUGGUCUCAAUCUCCAGACCUCAGGUGAUCUACCUACCAGCCUCAGCCUCCCAAAGUGCCAGGCCACAAGUUUACAAUAGUGGGUAUACAAUGGUUGGAGAGGCUGCUAGAAUAACAAAUAGGCAGGUUAGUGGCAUACAGUAUAAAGCAUAAGGCAGUUAGAGUGGUAUCUAGGUUAGUAUUGUUGAAAUCAGAAUCCGGUGGUUUUUAAUCUAACUGGAGCAGUGCUAUCCAGUAGAACUUUCUGCAGUGGUAAAAAUGUUCCACUCUACACUGUCUAGUAUGAUAACUACUGGCCACAUGCAGCUGUUGGGCACGUGAAAUGUGGCUGGUGUACCUGAAGAAAUUAUUUUUUUUAAUUGCGGUAAAAUAUAUACAACAUGAGAUUUGGCAUUUCGUGCCCUCCUCACGCUUAGUUGCCACCGCCCAAUGCCAGCUGCUGGGGGACUGGGAGCUCUCAUGCCUUGGGUACUUGUCUGGGUGCAGCAGCAUGUGGAUGUGCCUGGCACCCACACUUACUUCCUGGAGGAGAGAGCUAAGCCUGUCUACUGGAUACCUGCAGUUGGAGCACAAAAGGAGAGAUUUCAUCUCUUCUGGGAGUAGGAGGCUCUGUUUUGACACUCAUACCUUAGUGUGCUUACUGGAAGACAGUGGAUUUGCUACUAAACAAGCAGAAAUCAUUGUGUCUACAUUGGUCAAGAUCUUGGAGGCCAACAUGGACAUCGUCUACAAAAAUACGGUCACCAAGAUACAGCAGGAGAUGACUCUUCAGCAGAUAAUGUCUCAGAUUGUGAAUGUGAAAAAGGAUAUGAUUAUUUUGGAGAAGAGUGAAUUUUCAUCUCUCAGAACAGAAAAUGAAAAAAAUAAAACUUGAACUACAUCAGCUAAAACAGCAAGUAAUGGAUGAAGUGAUCAGAGUCCGGACAAAUAACAAAUUAGACUUCAACGUAGAAAAGAGCAGAGUAAAAGAAUUGCAUUCACUGAAUGAAAGGAAGCUGUGGAAUUGAGAACAGAAAUAGUGACAUUGCAUGCCCAGCAAGAUUGGUCCCUCACCCACACAGAUAGGAAGAUGGAAACUGAGGUUGCUGGCCUCAAAACCAUGCUCGAGGCCCACAAGCUUGUAUUUAGCAGGGCCUAUAUUUACGUGCCUAACAGUAGUUCUGGGAUUAUAUCGCCUGUGGAUCUAAUAAAGUGUGUAUUUAAAGAGAAAAAAAAAAGAUUUACAAUUUCAACAAUUAUUUUUUUUUUGACACGAAGUCUCGCUCUUGUUGCCUAGGCUGGAGUGCAAUGGCACAGGUGAUUCUUGUGCUUCAACCUUUCAAAUAGCUGGGAUUACAGGGGCCUGCCCACAAAUUUUUGUAUUUUUAGUAGAGACAGGGUUUCACCAUGUUAGCCAGUCUGGUCUCAAACUCCUAACCUCAAGUGAUCUGCCUACCUCGGCCUCCCAAAGUGCUGGGAUUAUAAAUAUGAGGCUCUGCCCCUGGCCUGCUUCUUAUUUUUUUUCUUUUAUUGCCUAUGCUUUUGAUGUCACAUCCAAUAAACCAUUGCUAAAUCCAGUGUCAUGAAGAUUUUCCCUUAUGCUUUCUUCUAAGAGUUUUCUAGUUUUAGCUCUUUUUAGUUUUGAAUUGGUUUUUGUAUAUGGUGUUAGGUAAGGAUUCAGCUUCAUUCUUUUGCAUGGGAAUAUCUAGGUUUUUUAAAGCUCUUUUUGUUGAAAAGACUGGAAUUGGUCUUGGCAGACUUGUGAAAAGUCAGUUGUGUAUUUAUGAGAGUUUACUUCUAGGUUUUCUCUUCUAUUCUAUGCCAGUACCACACCAUUUUGAUUAGUAUAGUUUUGCAGUAAGUUUGAAAUCCAGAAGCAUGAGCCAUCUAACUUUUGUUCUUUUUCAACAUUAUUUUGGCUAUUUGGGGGGUCCCUUAAGAUUCCAUAUGAAUUUUUUUUUUUUUUAGACAGAGUCUCACUCUGUCGCCCAGGCUGAAGUGCAGUGGCGCAAUGUGAGCUCACUGCAACCUCCACUUUCCAGAUUCAAGCAAGUCUCAUCCCUCAGCCUCCCAAGUAGCUGGGACUGCAGGUGCACACCACCACACCCAGCUAAUUUUUGUAUUUUUAUUUUUAGUAGAGAUGGGGUUUUGCCAUGUUGACAAGGCUGGUCUCCAACUCCUGACCUCAAGUGAUCUACCCACUUUGGCCCCCCAGAGGGUACAAUGGCUCAUGCUGGUAAUUCAUUGUGCUGAAUCUGUAGAUUGCUUUGGUUACUAUUGUUAGCUUAACAAUAUUGAGUCUUCCAAUUCAUGAACACAGGAUGUCUUUCCAUUUAUUGAAACUUUAUUUUUAAUUAUAUUCUGUUUUAGGAAAUUUAAAUUUGGCCAUGUUAUAGCUAAUGGUCCUCCUGUAGGCCAGCACAGCUCCAGAGAAUUACCGUCAGAUUUUCUUUUCUUCCUAAACCAUAGGAUUGUAGUGACAUCUUCAGAGGCCUUAUAGUAUCUCAGUCAUCGCUUGUCUCAGGAUGUCUGGAUUACAUGAACACAUGGUUAGAAGGGUGAAUAAAUAGGGGGUUUGGGUGCCUCCAGGUCAUCUCUGUCUCAGAGAUACAAGAAGGCUGUAAGUCUUGCCACAUCAGACUCUGUUUCCUUCUUUGUUUUCCCUUUGGAGAUGUCUGGUUUUCGGCCGGGCGCGGUGGCUCACGCCUGUAAUCCCAGCACUUUGGGAGGCCGAGGGGGGUGGAUCACGAGGUCGGGAGAUUGAGACCAUCCUUGCCAACAUGGUGAAACCCCAUCUCUAUUUAAAAAAAAAAAAAAGGAAAAAAGGAAAUGUCUGGUUUUCUCCAGAGCUAAAGAGAACCUCUUGUUUUCCAAGAAAUUAGCAAAAAGUAGACUGCUCUGGCAGAAAUGGAACUCCUUCUGCUUCUUUCUAUUUGUUUUUUUUAAAAGAAAUUCCUUCUCCAAAUGGAGAUGCUGAUUAUUUUAUAGCAAUAUACCUUGUUCAUCAUUCCGAUGCUGUUCUCAUGGGAACAGCAGCAAAAAAAUGCCUUUAGGUGCCAGUUGUGGUUGCACUCCACCUUCCAUUUUCCUUGAGAGUCAAGAAUCUAAAAGAUGCCUACACAUUAGAAACAGAAAAUAAAGAAUAAAAGCUGUAAAUAACUAGACCAGGAAACCCCCUUUCAGUGUCCAUUCGUUUUCCUGCCAUGUAAAAGGUAGUGGUAGGAUGCAGAAGACCUGUGUCCUUAGUGCUGUUCACAGCCGUCUCCCUGCUGUCCCCUUCCCUAGCUGCUCUCUGAAGGUCCCUGCAGAGAUCUGCAGAUCUCAGAGUAAACAGGAAACCUUCUGAAGUCAAAUAGAGAGUCUUAGAGCCUAGAGGGUAAGAGACACAGCUCUCCAGGAAGAAGAUGCCUUUGGCCUUGGACAGCCAGGAGCAGUGGGUUUAUGGUAUCUUAUAUACUGUUAUGACUCUCCUACAGAAGAACCCUCCAGUCCACUUUAGACCAGAAAUGGAACUUGGUUUCCUGGCCUGCCCAUAGCUACUCUACAUCAGUCUCCUGAAGAGAAGCUAAAGUAUCACUUGUGUAUUCAGAAUUGGAGUAGCCCAGUAGUUAGCCAAUUCUCUAAAACUGAUUUCUCUACCUUACUGCCCUUCGGCCUGUACCCCACCCUUAUUCUCACCUCUCUCUUUGUACAGAGAUAGCUUCUUUACAUUUGGGAUUUUCCACACUGCAGUUGAUCUGUCACUGCACUACCAAAAUGCCUGUGCCAACCUCUUGGGUGUCCUGGUGUCAGAACUUAGAAGUGUCCCAACUGUCCCACCCAGCCUCCACAGCUCUCCUCUCUCUCUCCUGGGUUGUUGUUCUAGAAUGAUAUUCCUCUUGGAUUCAGUGUGUGCAGUCUGAUUUGGGUGGAGCCUUGAUCUGUACACGGGAGUGCUGGUAAUGUCUGGCCUUCAGUGCUGCCAAAGGCAAAAAGCUGGCCUCGCCUCUAAGCACAUAGUUGGAUUGCUGGGGCAGUGUUAAAAGGAGGGUGGGGCAAGCAAAUACCACUCUCUUCCUACUGUGUUUUCAGGAAGUGAUUAGAAAUGCAGCUAUAAGUUGAAUAAAAUCAAAAGAAUGAAUUGUCACCUUCCCCCAACAAAAACCAGAUGAGCACAAACAUAUACACACACACACACUCCUCUGGACUCCACCCAAGACCCACACCCUGCUCUGCUGGGCUGCACUUCGGUGCUGUUUCAGAGCAAGGAGCCUUUGGCAUUCCAUCUCCAUUCUUUUUCCGGGGAGAGGACUUAGGAGUCUUCUGAAUAAGGGCUGAACCUCCCUUUAGGCACACUGGGGGUCUCACUUCCCUAUCCCCUCUCCUUCCGGGAAGAGUAUGGGCACAGGCAUGUACGUGGGAGGAAUAACCAGUGCCAAGACUGAAUCCAUCAGUUAGGGAUUGGGUUUCAGAACUGGUAGUGCAAUUGUUUGCAGAGUUGUCAGUGAAAGGAGUUUCUGUGCCAUCAACACACUUCAUUCCUUCCUUCCAGCUGCCUCUUUUCCUUGUACGGCCUUUUGCCUGGUGCCUCCGUGGAGUUUAAGCCAUAUGGCUCUUAUGAAUAUUGUUUGGAGUCUCCAAAAGUGGCUGGCUGUAUAGCACACAGCACCCCUGGGUCUACCCCUCCCCUCUCAGCAGCUGUUUGCCACUGACUGAGGUGGCGACUGAGCCUAUGUGUGUGGCCAGAGUCAGUGACAGGCAUCCCACCCAGGCCUGGGGAAGCCCUUCGCCAGUGCGGUUCCUGUGGCAGCAGCCAGACACGCCAGAGCUCCUCAUACCUUCAGGGCUGUGGUGCAACAGCCAGCUUUAUGCGUUAGCAUUGUUUAGUGUUGGUUGACUUGACUUUUCUGUCCCCACCCUCUGUGUUUAAGGAAAUCUGGCCAUUGUCCAGUAGGAAAGAAGUUGGCAUUUACAGAGAGUGGCUUUCUGCCACCUCUCUCAUGGUAGGAGCCAGGACCACCUUCCAUCUCUGCUUCCUACCCGUGUGGCAAAGAGGAAGGGGCCCCUCUGUGCUCAGCCUCCUGUUGUGGAGUUUCAAGUUGCCUAAGAUCAGAAUGAGGCUAUCUGCCAGGUUAUCUGCCCAGAUAAACAUUUAUUGUUUACAGGGACAUGUUUCAGCUGCUCUGGCUGCUCCCACUGGUGAGAUCUUCUAGUUUCUUGAGGUUUUAAGCCAGUAUAUGGGGCUGACGUCCAGACACAGAACUACUGGAGCUUGAGAGGCUGUAAGUGACUGGCGGCUUCAAACUUAGCUUCACCAUUGCCCCUCCUCACCCACUGCCGGAGCUAGAUUUAUAUCUCCUGUUCUUCGUCCUGCCUUGUGGAUGUGGAAACUGCGUCUACAUUUUAAACAUGUCCAGCCUUUAGAAUUGGGAGAUUUACAUGAGAUCCAGUGUUAGCACACAGUCAGCUGAAGACUUCUUUUCAUGGCAAAGCCAGCCUUCUGACACUGUGUUUUCCUUGACCACGUGACAACUGUUCAGUGAUGGCAACAGGGAUAGAGGCAGAUUUUCUUUUUUAAUCAACUAUCUCCAGUGCUUCCAAAUAUUGUCUUUUUCUUUUUAGUGAUGUGAUUGAUUUUCCAACGUUUUAUUAUACUGCAAAGUUAAAAAUUCUACAGUGAGCUCACUUAUACCCAAUACCUGGAUGCUCUCAUUCUCAUUUUACUGUAUAUUUCUCACCAUGUUAUCUGUUUAUGUCUUUCUCUCCCUCUUUUCCAUCCAUUCAUCCAUCCAUCCAUUUUUUUCUUUUUUAAAAUUAUUAUUUUUUAAUGCUUGUAAUUCUAGCACUUUAGGAGGCCGAGGUGGGUGGGUUGCUUGAAGCCAGGAGUUCAAGACCAGCCUGGCCAACAUGGUGAAACCCCAUCUCUCCCAAAAAUACAAAAAUUAGCCAGGCAUGGUGAUGCAUGUCUGUAGUCCCAGCUACUCAGGAGGCUGAGGCAGGGGGAUCAAUAGCUUGAGCCGGGGAGGCGGAGGUUGCAGUAAGCUGAGAUUGCACCAGAGUGAGAGUCUGUCUCAGAAAAUUGCACCAGAGUGAGAGUCCGUCUCAGAAAAAAAGUUUAGCACUCAUUAUACCUGGUGUUUUUUGUUUGUUGUUUUGCUUUUUAAUACAGCUCAAGUAUGCAGAUUUGUUCAGCUUUCAGUUUUAUUUUCAAUUCUCUAAUGGAUAAAAAAAGCACCAAAAAAAUUCAGUUUUUACAUUUCUUUUUGAGACGGAGUUUCGCUCUUGUUACCCAGGCUGGAGUGCAAUGGCGCGAUCUUGGCUCACCACAACCUCCGCCUCCUGGGUUCAGGCAAUUCUCCUGCCUCAGCCUCCUGAGUAGCUGGGACUACAGGCACGCGCCACCAUGCCCAGCUAAUUUUUUGUAUUUUAAGUAGAGACAGGGUUUCAGCAUGUUGACCAGGAUGGUCUUGAUCUCUUGACCUUGUGAGCCACCGCGCCCAGCAAGUUUUUACGUUUCAAUUCAGAUACAAGAACUUGGAACAGAACCAUUGAUAUUUUUUUUGAAGAGGAAAGCAGUAAUAGGAAAUUUAACUAGGAAGACCCUAAGCUUCAAUUGUAAAGAUACCUCCUUUUCCCAAGAAUUAGGCCUAAUCAAGUCUAUACCUACCAAUUAUGGACAGGGAGAGGCAAAUCACAGCUAAAGACCUUGGCACUUCUGUAAGAAAUUUAAAUAACAGACAGACAUAUAGAGAUUUGUAAAUAUGUACUUGCUGCCAGAUAAACCACAGAGAAGAUGCUGUAUUUGUGGUCCAGGGAAGUUUAAAUAUUUGUGGUCAAACUUAAAAUUCAACAUAAAACCCUCAUCUGUCAUGGAAACUUUCCAGAAACUGCAUGGAGGGGGUGUGCAAGCUACAUAAACGCUCAAAGGCCUCUCCUUUCACCGGGUUCAGCUAGAAAAGCCUGUUCUCCUUCCUCCACUCUGUGUAGCUAACAGGCCCUUCGAUAAGAGAAGGAAAUCCGUGAUGCUCCAGUCACCCACCCAGGAAGUCUACUCUAGGAACCUCCCAGGCCAGACAUGGUGGCUUACGCCUGUAAUCCCAGAGGCCAAGGCAGGAGGAUCCCUUGAACCAAGAGUUCAAGACCUGGGCAAUAUAGGGAGACCCUGUUUCUAUAAAAUAUUAGCCAGGCCUGGUGGCAGGCGCCUGUGGUCCCAGCUACUCGGGAGGCUGAGGUAGGAGGAUCCCUUGAGCCCAGGACAUUGAGGCUGCUAUGAGCUGUGAUCACACCACUGUACUGCAACCUGGGCAACAGAGCGAGACCCUGUCACAAAUAAAGAAGGACCUCUUUUUUUUGCGGCUUACUCUUUCAAGUCUGAUUAAAUGUUACCUUUCUUAGGGUCUUCUGUUCACCAUCUUAUAUAAAAUAGCAAUACUCUUCCUCACCCUGUCACUCUCUGUUUCUCUUACCCUACUCUUUUUUCACAGUACUUUCCACUACUGUCUGCUUAUUACUCUCAGUCUCACAAAAAUGUUAAGCUCUAGGAGAACAGGAACAUUGUUUUAUUCACUGCUGGAAUUACAGACAUGAGCUGCCACUCCUGGCCCAGAAUUUUUUUGUGUGUGAGAUAGUCUGCUUUGUGGCCCAGGCUGGAGUGCAAUGGCACAAUCUCGGCUGACUGCAAUCUCUGCCUCCCGGGUUCAAGCAAUUCUCCUGCCUGAGCCUCCUGAGUAGGUGGGACUACAGGUGUGUGCCACCAUGCCCGGCUAAUUUUGUAUUUUUAGUAGAGAUGGGGUUUUACUGUGUUGGCCAGGCUGAUUGAACACUUAACCUCAAGUUACCUGCCUGCCUCGGCCUUUCAGAAUCUUGGAAUUAAAGGCAUGAGCCACUGCGCCUGGCAAAUUUUUAAAAAUGAAAAUUUCAAUAUUUGUUUUCAUAGCGGAGGCUGGAGGUUGGGGAGCGGUUAAGAAGACUCCAAAGAGGUCCCAUUACAAUUCAGUCAUACACCAAAUUCCCAUCUUUCUUUCUGGAUCAUCCUGUAGUUUCUGUAGCUAUUUUCUGUAAAUCAUGCGAAUUCUCUCUAAUCCUUCAUUAUUUCUGUUUUCCACCCUCUUAGCUGUUGCCAUUAUUUUGAGGCAUUGGAUGUAAAAAAAAAAAAAAAAAAAAAAAAACCUGUUAGAUUUACCUUGUAGGCUGAAAUUCAGAAAUUAGGCAAGGUUCAGGUAGCUUUUCAGAAGGCAAGGCAGGUGUGUUUAGUUAUACCAUUCCAGGAUGCCCUCAUAAAUGGAAACCCUGAAGUGAGGGCUUGAAUGCCCUUGAAGGAGAACAACAAAAUACCAUUUUGGAAAUAAAAUGAUGCUGUCCUGGGUGUUCCAGCCCCUCCCAUGCUGGCCUCCUUUCGGCACCAUUCCUUUCUGCAGCCCCACCCCGCUUGGCCCUGGCAUGUAGUCCCAUGAACAUGCCACCUGCCUUCUCUCUCUCUCUCUCUGGCCCCAUCCACUGACUGCUCAGUUUAUUUUUUCCACAUCCUCACCCUCUUCCAGCUCCAAGUUAAAUAACCCUCACAGAUGGCUUUUUCCCUCAGAGCGGUUUAAGAACACAGGGCAGUGAACUGGGGCCCUGAAGAAGCUGCCCCAGCCCAAGACUGCCCUUCUUAUGGAAGCUCAAGACAACUUUGUCAGUAGCUCCCUAGAAGUCCACAGACUGUGAGCAUAAAGGCAGCAGGUUGGGUGGUAGAAUGUCUCUUUAACACUGUAAUCCUCUAGCAGCUAACAACUAGUUCUCACUUAGAGUUACAAGUCGGUAGCUGGAGCCAGAUCCACUGCGUACUCCAUUUUCCACAGAAGACAUAGUACUUCGUAGCUGGCAUCUCUCCCCACCUUUUUACAGCAUGGAAACCCAGCAGGAAAUGACAGUCCCCGUUUGUGUUUGAGUUCAUGGUUUCAGUCUUUACUGAACCUCUUCAUGAAUCCUGAGAGGCCAAGAUCCCUGCCUUGCCUGACCCAAAGGGCAAUAUUCCCAGCUGCCAGCACACCCACGGGAAGACAGGGAACUUUGGAUGCCGAUUAGGAAUUCUGCAUAGAGUCCAGGCGUGGUGGCUCAUGCCUGUAAUCUCAACACUUUGGGAGGCUGAGGUGGGUGGAUCACCUGAGGUCAGGAGUUCCAGACCAGCAAGGCCAAUAUGUCAAAACCCCAUCUCUACUGAAAAUACGCAAAUAGCCAGGCAUGGUGGCACACGCCUGUAAUCCCAGCUACUCGGGUGGCUGAAACAGGAGAGUCGCUUGAACCCAGAAGGCGGAGGUUGCAGUGAGCCAAGAUUACGCAUUGCACUCCAGCCUCGGGGGCAGAAUGAGACUCCAUCUCAAAAAAAAAAAAAGAAAAAGAAAUCCUGCACAAAGACCCAGAAUUUCACUUUCUUUCCUGUCAGCAAGGACAUGGAGGUUUCCUGUCUGCCUUGUCAUCAGCUUUGGAACAUUUUCCUCCUGCAUUCCCCCAUGUGUGUAGUGGCUGGAAGCUUCACCCCAUUCAUCCCAGCAUCCUCCUUCCCUCUCUCCUAAUCAGCUGGGUCUGGUUAAUUUUGCCCUGGUGACAGGACAGUCUUUCCUUGUCCUCAGGGUUAUUCCUGUGGAACGUAAGACCUCUCUGGUCAUGGUCUCCCUCUUUCCCUUCCUUCUCACUCUUUUUUCUCUCUAACUAUGGCCUUUGUAAAUAGAUUCCUCUGAGGUCACCGAGGAAGGGUAGUAUGUGGUCUUUGCUGCUGUAGGACUCUUUUCCCUCAGUAAGCAGAGUUCCCUUGAGAGACCCCCUCCCUUCCUUUAUUAAAAGCCAUGUUGGUGGCUUAUCUGCUUGAACUGUGGCAUAACAGGGCAUGGAACAAUGGCAUGCAGAGAGUGCUUUGGCCAAAGAGAAGUUAACUUUCAGCCAGAGACAACAGUUUGAAGAAACUUUCCUUGGUAAGAAAAGAGGCAAGAAGAAAGGUGGUGAGAUGGAAAGGGAAAAUUCUAUGGCAGAGAAGUACUCUCUGAGAACUCAAUCAGAAAUCAGUAUCUCCUCCUCAAGUCUGGUUUUUCCAGCGAGAAGUAAACUGUUACUCUCUUUCCUCUCUUCCUUCAUACCUUCUCCAAGAUCAAGCAUUGCCAGAUAAAUAACACACCCUUUUGCUUACAAAGUAGAAGUUACUUGGAUUGACAGAUUUGUGGAGCUUUUGGGUGCCAAGUGUCAGGAGGGAGUUUUGAUUUCCAUUUUCCUGUCCUUGUGAUGGACUUUACAUUUAGUAUAAAAGUUCAAAACUGCCAGGCGCGGUGGCUCACGCCUGUAAUCCCAGCACUUUGGGGAGACUGAGGCAGAUGGAUCACGAGGUCAAGAGUUUAAGACCAGCCUGGCCAACAUGGUGAAACCCCAUCUCUACUAAAAAUACAAAAACUAGCCAGGCAUGGUGGCGCACAUCUGUAAUACCAGCUCCUCUGGAGGCUGAGGCAGGAGAAUCACUUGAACCUGGGAAGCAGAGGUUGCAGUGAGCCAAGAUCCUGCCACUGCUUUCCAGCCUGGGCGACAGAGCAAUAUUCUGACUGGGGGAAAAAAAAAAGGAAUGUCUUGAUGGUGAUUCUCCUAGAAGGCAAGCCUACUUCCUCUGUGCCACCACAGAGGUGUUGCUGGCAAACUCAUCUUGAAAUUACUACUUGCCUCUUUGCACUGUGGCUCUUAUUAAAGAGUCUUUCCUGACUUUAGAUCUGAUGAUAAGUUAGCCCAAUAGAGUGCCCUCAGUCUCCUGUAGGGCUCACAGUUUUGGCUUAUACCCUCCAAGUGGCCGGAAGGGAGCUACAGGGUGUUGGAGAUGGCCAUGGGAACUAAACAGCUCACAAGAAGAGCAUGGGUGAGAGCCAGCUGUUCCCCGCUGCCUGCUGGAGCAAGCUCAGUGAGGCCACUGACAAGAGUCCUCAGAACACUAAACAGGUGAUUAAAACAUCAGUAUAAGUCUUUCCAAGCUUCACAGAAAGCCAAAAAUUUAGUUUGGACACCAAGAGAAAUUUUCCGCUCUGGAGCUUUAUAAACUGGUUUGCUGUUUCUUCUCUGCUCUGUAGCCAGAGGGGAGCUCUGUGCUAAUGAUUCCAUAAAACCCUCCAGGUCUUCCUGAGUGGCUGAUCAUAGAGAGUAACCUGUACCAUGCUUUUCCAUCAGAAUCAUCUUUAGCCUCUCACUGUUAGUUCACAUUCUGAAUCUUCAACCCUUCCACAAAGGCCAAGCCCAGCUCUUGGCACUGUCCGCUGUGACAGAACAAUCCUUUUUUCUUUCCAAGACGACUGCCCAGAAUCACAGAAACCUGUAAGAAUGGAAAGAGAGUAAUCCCACUUCCGGGCAUUCACCCAAAAGAUUUGAAAUCAGCUGGUUGAAGAGACGUGUGGGCUCCCAGGUUUACUGCAGUACUAGUCACCAUAACCAAGUGAUGGAAUGAGUCUGUGUCAUCAGCAGAUGAACGCAUAAAGAAAAGGUGAUACAUACACACAGUGGAGUACUAGUCACUCUUCAAAAAGACAGCAGUUCUGUCUCUUCGACAGCAUGGUUGGAAUUGAAGAGCAUUAUCUAAGUGAAAUAAGCCAGGCACAGAAAGGCACACACAAUAUGAUUUCACUUUCAUGUGGAAUCUGAAAGAGUCCAGCUCAUAAAAGUGGAGAGUAGAAUGGUGGCUACAGAGGCUGGGGAAUGGGGAGAUGAUGGUCAAAGGGUGCAAAGCCCCACUUCCACAGGAGAGAGAAAGAUGGGCGUGUGUUUUUCUGAGAUCUAUUGAACAGCAUGGUGAAUAUAAAAAUACAGUACUGUACAUUUAAAAUUGCUUUAAGAGGCCAGGUGUGGUAGCUCACAACUGUAAUCCCAACACUUAGGGAGCAUAAGGCAGGAUGAUCACUUGAGACUAGGAGUUCAAACCAGCCUGGGCAACAUAGUGAGACCCCAUCUCUAAAA